CCUCAUGUUGUUGUGAUCCCAUGUCCACUCCAAGGUCAUAUAAAGACUAUGCUUAAACUUGCGAAGCUUCUUCACUACAAAGGUCUUCACAUCACGUUUGUCAGCACAGAAUUCAAUCACAAACGUUUCCUUAGGUCAAGAGGACCUCAUGCCCUUGAUGACUUGCCUGGCUUCCAUUUUAGAACCAUUCCCGAUGGUCUCCCUCCUUCAGAUAUUGACGCCACCCAAGACAUUCCUUCUCUUUGUCAUGCCAUGAACAAGAAUUUCUUAGCACCCUUUAAAGAUCUUCUUUUACAACUCAAAAAUACCAUAUCGGAGAACAACCCUCCGAUUACCUGCAUUGUUUCUGAUCCUUUUGCUCCAUUCUCCAUCAAAGCUGGGGAAGAAGUUGGUCUUCCAGUUGUGAUGUAUGCCACUAUGAAUGCAUGUGGCUAUAUGGGAUUUAAACAGCUCUAUGCUCUCAGAAAGAAAGGCUUCACCCCCAUCAAAGGUAUAUUCACAUACUUGUUUAAUUACAACUGAACUUCCAAGCAAAGUGGCUUUAUUACACCAUUAUACAACUUCUUUAGUAUUUUGCAGCUUUAUUCUUUUCUAAAUAUUACAAUUUAAUUAAUUUGGUAUGCCCGCGUUCCGACAAAAAUUUCCAAGCUUAAAUCACACAGGCAAGAUCAAUGAUUAUGUGCAAUAAAUUUUCAUUUUGAGCUUGGUCUAAUAAGAUUGUGUUUUGCAGAUUUGAGCAAUCUAAGCAACGGCUAUCUUGAGACAAAAGUAGACUGGGCUCCUGGUAUGAAAGACGUUCGUCUUAAAGAUUUUCCAUUUAUUCAAACAACAGAUCCAGAUGAAGUUGUAUUUAACUUUGUCAUUGGGGUUGCUGAGACUUCUGUUAAAGCUCGUGCAAUUGCUUUUCAUACUUUUGACGCCUUGGAACCAGAAGUUUUAGAUGGCCUUUCCACUAUUUUCCCUCGAGUUUAUUCCAUCGGUCCACUCCAGUUACUCCUAAAUCAAUUCGAAGAAGAUGGCUUGAAGUCUAUUGGUUACAGUCUGUGGAAAGAAGACCAUGAGUGUCUCCAAUGGCUGGAAACAAAGGAACCCAAAUCAGUGGUGUACGUGAAUUUUGGAAGCAUAACAGUGAUGACAGCUGAUCAACUGGUGGAGUUUGCAAUGGGAUUAGUUAAUAGUAAUAUCCCAUUCUUGUGGAUUAUAAGGCCAGAUUUGGUCAUCGGUGAAUCAGCUGUUUUACCAGCUGAAUUUGCAGAGGAAACUGAAAAGCGAGGCUUUAUUACAAGUUGGUGUCCACAAGAGGAAGUGCUUAACCAUCCAGCAGUUGGAGGGUUUCUAACUCAUAGUGGCUGGGGUUCAACCAUUGAGAGCUUGUGUGCUGGUGUUCCAAUGGUGUGUUGGCCCUUCUUCGCUGAUCAAGCAAUGAACUGUAGAUAUAGCUGCAAUGAAUGGGGAGUUGGAAUGGAGAUUGGUAAUAACGUCAAGAGGGAAGAAGUGGAGAUGCUGGUGAAGGAGCUAAUGGAAGGGGGAAAGGGUGAGAAAAUGAGGGGAAAGGCUAUGGAGUGGAAAAGAUUGGCUGAAGAAGCUGUUGGGCCAGAGGGUACAUCAUCCAUUAAUUUGGACAAGUUCAUCCAUGAAAUAAUCUCUUCAAACAAUUAGAUCGUCGUCACACUAGAAUAAAAAAAAUAAUGAAAAGAUCAAAUUUCGUUUGUUUGUGAAAAGAUCAAAUUUCCUUCCCUGUCUGUUGCCUUUUAUUGGAAUUUAAAUAUCAUAAUAAAUAAAUGCUCCAUUUUCGAACAUGGUGUAGGCCCGCUUUUGGCAUUCUAUAUUUCAAAGCAACCAUGGAUUGUUGAUGUGAUUAGAUCAUUGAUCAUGAAGUUUCUCCUAAUAUGGCAACGAUUCACAUCUAUUAAUCAGGUGGGAGCAUAGUUUUGAAACACAGAACUACUAAUCGGGUCGAGAUCUGGAUCAGAUUUUAAAAAAAAUAAAAAAAGUUAAAAAUUUAAUUGACCCGGCGACUUGGUAAGACCCGAUUAAAAAUUUAAUUAUAAUUUAUUAACUAUUUUUUUUUUUAAUCAAAACAAUAUUUUUUUCAUCAUAAUUUUAAAACUUGAUUUGACAAGUCGACCCGAAACUAGAGCAACAACCCACAUGUCAUCAGGUAAUUUUGCUAGGAAGAUUUAAUAUAAUAUAGUAAUAAUUAAUUAAAAAAAUCCCUGCACCUUGGAGGUACUUAUUGAUAGUGAUCACUGAAGUCAUAAUACAAUGACCUAGCGGAACAUGACGUUAAUUAAAAAUAAACAAAAUCAAGGAAGAUCCAAGAUUUGGAAAUAGAAAAACAAGCACUGCUGGCUAUAAAUGACAGGAAAAGUCCCAUUGAGAUUGAACAUAGUGAAGGUAGCUUGCUAGUCAGAGAGAAGGGAUUGUUGAUGGUUAGAUCAUUAAUCAUUUACUUUAUUAUUCCUGGUCAACAAAACCAAUAUUUCAUAUCUAUCAUUCAAGAGGGAGACUCGAAAGAAGCAUGAAAAGUAACGUCUUUCUUCACCUUUCUUUCACAUAUCGUGAGCAACUAGAUUGGUGUCCUGCGGUAAGUUACGAAUCAAGAGUCAAUUUUUUUCUAGGAGAUAGUUGCACUUUUAAAGAAGAAAAAAAAAAUCAAAGAGUGAGAUUAUUGACUUUACUAGAUUUAAUAAACUCAAUUAAUUUAGUAAUAUAAUUAAAAACAUGCAACAACAAUAGAUAAAUUAAAAAAAGAAAUGACUCGAGUUAACUUGGGCUAACACGCCAAACCCGUGACCUAACACUUGAAAUCAAGAUAACCCCAUAAAAAAAAGAAAAAAAAUAAUAAAGUUUAACCUCCAACAAACUCAAUAUUGAAGGAUAAAAUAAAAAAAUAAUUGUAAAAAAAACCUAAGUCAACUCGGGUUAGCCUUCCAAACCUAUCACCCAUGUUCUGAAGUGAGGAUUACCUCAUAGAAGGCAAGCCUGAAAAAAUUAUGAAGUCAAAUUCCUAAUCAACAAAAUGUUGAGAUAUGAAAUUGAAAAAGAAAUUUUCAAUAAAAAAGGAUCCAAAACAAAAUAAAUUGAAAUAAAAAGUGAGGACCAAAUUUGACAUAAAAAUAAAAUAAAAUCAAAUGUUGAGGGAUGAAAUUGAAAAGAAAAUUCUAUUAAGAAAAGUAUUUAAAACAAAACAAAACAAAUAACAAUUAAAAAAAUGAGAAUCAAAUCUGAUAUGGAAAAAACUAGAGGAUGAAAUCAUAAAAAAAUUAAAUUUAAAAACUAUCUCAAAUAAAAUAAAUAACAAUCAAAAGGAAUAUAGAUAAAAUAUGACAGAUAAAUUUUUUUGAAAGAGAGUGAAAUUUUAAAAAAUCCAAUUUGAUAAAUUAUUUCAAAUAAAAUAAAUAGUAAUAAAAAGAACAGUGGUCAAAUAUAAAGAAAGAAUAAAUCAAAGGGUUACUUUGAAAAUUCAAAGAGUCAGGCAUGAAAAUUGAGGAGGAGAGAGAAAAGAAAAGAAAAAGUAAAGUUUGUUGGUUCAAGUUCAUCAUCUUAUUCAUAAAAGUAGUUACAAGAUUCUUAAACUCUGUCACAAAACAUUUUAAAUAGGUAAAGAUUAAAGUUUGAAGGAACAAGAGGCUUACCAGCGGCUGCAAGUUAAUCACUAUAGGCCUUUCCAUGUUUUAAGGAGGUUAUGACACACUACCAGAAAUUCGCUCAAUAGCAACGGAUUUACCGACAGAAUAUUUCUGUCGGUAAUUUGAGGUUGAAAUUACUGACGGAAACUUUUCCGUCGUCGCUGACGUAGAGGUUUUGGCGGGUAAUUUUUACCAACGGAAUCACCGACGAAUUCAAAACGACAGCCCGUACAGUGACGUGAUUGGUUCGCCGUUUAAAAUGCCGAUGGAAUCACCGAGGGAUUCGAAAUGGCAGAUCCGUACGGUGACGUGUUGAUUUUUCUGUCAGAAUCACCGACGGAAAAUCCGUUGCUGAAACCGUGGGAAAAAGUUAAUAUAUGUCCUCUCUGCCGACCCUCUCCUCCCCUAUUUCUCCUUCUUCUUCCUAAUCCCAACUCUCCCCAUCUGCAAACAACCACCCCCCCUCCCCCAAACAAAAAUCUCCCUCAUCUCAGCACAACAAGUCAUAUUUCUUGAAGUUUUGUGGUCAUAGCAUCCGUGUUCUGAUUUACCAACAGAUUUUAUCAAUUUUUGUAAGUAAUUCUAUCUUUUUAAAUUUUAACAUUUAAUUAAAUGUCAAUUUUAUUGUUUUUUUAGUAUAUGUAUUUUGUUAGUAGAUGUACAUGUUUUAUUGUUAUUUCUCAAACAAACUUGUAGUAUAUGAAUGUAUAAUUCUAUACCUGUUAUGGUUUGUUUUAGGUUUUGUAAGAUUGUAUUUGUUGGUAAAUUGUUAAAACUUUAUGGAAUUACCAAAUUACAUGUGCUGUUUUGAAAUAAUUAAUAGCUUGCUUAAUGAGUCCAUUUAAAGUUUUAUCAAUGGUAUUGCGGAGUAGUAAUUUCUGUAAAUUUAUAUAUAUUAAUUUGUAUGGACGUUGAUAAAUGAUAAUGAAUAUUUAAUAUUUAUAAGAAGUUGUGAUUGGUUUGUUGGAUAAUCUUGAGGUAAAGUAAUAUUUUUGCAAGUUUAUUUACCUAACUUAGUUAAUUAAUACAUGAUGUCAUCAUAAUUUUAUAGAGGUUCGAUAUAAGUCAUGGAUGAUCGUUCAUGGAUGUAUCGAGAUUCACCCCAAGGAUUGCGGAGGAUUGAUUAUUGUAACGGGGUUUAGGGUUUUAUUAAUUUCGCAACAUCUAUUCCUAGAAAUUUUACUGGAGGCGGUAUUAGGUAUCCAUGCAGGAAGUGUCAAAAUAAAAAAUAUCUGCAUCCAGAUGUUGUAAUGAUGCAUCUUCUACACAAAGGGUUUAUGAAGAAUUACCAGUGUUGGUAUGCACAUAGAGAAGUAUUUGUUAGUAAGAGGAGAAUGGGAGAAACGGUGGUUGGAUCUACUUCUAGUGCUAGCAACGUGCAUGAAGCGGCAAAUAACAACACUAAUCCUUACAGAAAUAUGGUUAUGGAUUCAAUGAGAAUGAAUCAAGGUAAUGUCAGUCAAUUUCCAAUCGUAGAAGAAGAACCUAAUGCAGAUGCAGCUAGGUUUUUUGAUUUGUUGAAAGAUUCUGAUGAACCAUUAUGGGAUGGUUGUACGAACCACAGUAAAUUAUCGGCCGUAGCACAGGUGUUCACCAUCAAGUCAGAUCACGGGUUGAGUGAGGUUGGGUAUGACAAGAUUAUUGCAUGGAUGAGAAGUAUUUUACCUGAAGGGAACAUGCUGAAAGAGAACUUCUAUGCUACGAAGUCCAUGAUGAAAACCCCUCGGUUUAGGAUACCAGAAAAUUGACAUGUGCCCUAACUUCUGCAUGUUAUACUACCUUGAAAAUGCUGAGAUGACCGAGUGCAUGACAUGCGGGCAUUCCCGUUAAAAACCUAGAACUAGCAGGGGAAAGACUCUAGUGGCAUAUAAAAAACUUAGAUACUUCCCGAUCACACCUAGACUGUAGAGGUUAUUCAUGUCAUCAAGGACUGCUGAGCACAUGACAUGGCACCAAGCACAUAAUGCGGUUGAUGGAGUGAUGGUGCAUCCUUCUGACGGCGAAGCGUGGAAACGCUUUAACAGUGUCCAUCCUCACUUUUGAGCUGAAUCAAGGAAUGUGCGUCUUGGGUUGUGUACAAACGGAUUCAACCCAUUUAGGUCAUUUGCUGCUCCUUAUUCUUGUUGGCUGGUCAUACUCACAGUUUAUAACUUGCCACCGGGAAUGUGUAUGAGGCCAGAGUUCAUGUUUUUAUCUACUGUCAUACCCGGUCCAAGCAGCCCGGGGUGGAAUAUAGAUGUUUGUCUUCGACCGUUGAUUGAUAAGUUGGCUUAAUUGUGGUCCUCCGGAGCUCUGACUUAUGAUAUAUCGAGGAAACAAAAUUUCCUUAUAAGGGCGGCUUUGAUGUGGACUAUCAAUGAUUUUCCAACUUAUGAAAUGCUUUCUGGUUGGAGCACGUAUGGGAAACUCGCAUGUCCAUACUGCAUGGAAAACAACAAGGCAUUCACGCUAGCAAAUGGAGGUAAAGCUUCUUUUUUUUACUGUCACCGUCGCUUCUUGCCACUUAAUCACAGGUACAUAAAGAACAAAAAAGAUUUCUUUGUUCGUAGAGUUGAAAAAGAUGUUGCAUCCCUGCGUCUUUCUGAUGAAGAAUUGCAUGAUGUUGUAUCAGAGUACGGUGACAUUGUGUUUGGCCUUCAAUCAGGUAAGCAAAAGUUUUAUGGUUUUGGUUUGACCUAUAAUUGGGUAAAGCGAAGUAUCUUUUGGGAGCUUCCUUAUUGGAAGAUCAAUCUACUCCGCCAUAACCUUGACGUCAUGCACAUCGAAAAGAACAUGUUUGAGAACAUUUUCAACACCGUCAUGGAUGUGAAGGGGAAGACAAAGGACAACAUCAAGGCUAGAUUGGAUAUAGCUUUAUACUGUAACCGUAAAAAUAUGGAGUUGGUUUAUGAUGAGUCACGGGUCGCAAAACCAAGAGCAAGCUUUGUGUUAGAGAAAAACGCACAACUGCUAGUCUACAAAUGGCUUAAGAGUCUGUGUUUUCUGGAUGGACAUGCAUCGAACAUAUCAAGGUUGGUUAAUAUAAAGGACUGUAGAUUGUAUGGAAUGAAGAGCCAUGACUGCCACGUGUUUAUGCAAACACUAAUCCCAUUAGCUUUUCAUGAUUUAUUGCCAAAAGGAAUAUGGGAUGCACUCAUGGAGAUUAGUCAUUUCUUCAGAGAUAUAUGCUCCAGCAAGUUAAAUGUUGAGCACAUUGAGAGGCUUCAAACGAAUAUCGUCGAAACACUAUGCAAACUUGAGAUGAUAUUCCCUCCAUCAUUUUUUGACUCAAUGGAGCAUCUCCCUAUACAUAUACCGUUCGAGGCAAAAUCUGGAGGACCGAUCCAAUAUAGAUGGAUGUACCCAUUCAAAUGGUUAGAUAUUAUAGUUGCAAUGUAAUUCAUAUAUAAAAGUAUUUUCUAUGUUUUUCUUAAUUGAAAAUACUUGAUUAAUUCAAUGCAAGUACUUGUUUAAUCUCAAGAAAAAGGUUAAGAACAAGGCGCAUGUUGAGGCCUCGAUAUGUGAGGCCUAUAUUGUUGAGAAGAUCUCAACAUUUAUCUCGUACUAUUUCGAACCUCAUCUAAGAACGAGAAUCAAUCGCGUUCCACGGUAUGAUGAUGGCGGUGAAGUGCCUUCCAAUGGGAACUUGUCAAUAUUCUCCAAUACUGGACGACCCACACCUAAAAAUGUCGUAAGAGAAAUGUCAAGAGGCACAGAGAUAUAAGGAAACAAUGAUUCAUCAAAGAGGACAUGGCAAGACACAAAGAUGCGAUUGGUAUGAAGGGAAAAACAAAUAUACCCUUUAUAUUGGCUGGCAUAGCCCAAAAAUAUGCAUGUGGAAGUUUUUGGCUGUAGUUUAUUAGUGUUGUAAGACCGAAGUAAAGGGAAACAAGCACAACCAAAGAUGCGCAAGUGAUGGAUGACAGGGGAAGAACCAUACAGCAAGAAAAAAGGAGAUUUCAGCCGUAGAAGUUGACAAGGCAAUCUAUUAAUCAAAUAGAUGGAAGUAGCACAAGCAUGAAACCAGAAUUUAUGAGGGAGAUGGGCAGUUUGUAACAAAGUGACGGUGGUUUCCACAAUAUGUCUAUGCUUUCUUUCAGCAAGACCAUUUUGUUCAGGGGUAUAGGGACAUGACAUUUGAUGAACAAUGCCCUUGGUAUGAAGAUAGUUUUUGAAGUUGGUGCUAAUAUAUUCACCACCUCCAUCACUUUGAAAGAUCUUAAGUGUAGCAAAAAAUUGAGUAACUAAAAAUGUAUGGAAAUGGACAAAAAUAGAAUAAACCUCUCCUUUAUUGAUCAUUGGAAAAAUCCAAGAGUACCGUGUACAUUCAUCAACAAAACUAACAUAAUAUCUAAAGCCAUCAACAGACAUUACGGGUGCAGGGCCCCAAACAUCACUAUGUAUGAUUUCUAAAGGGUGAAUAGACUUAACUGCUGGAUAUGGAAAAGGAAGCUUAGUAAUUUUUCCCUCUAAACAAGUGGUACAAACAGACUUGGUAGGAUCUGAAGUGAAGGGAAUCUGAGACUAAGUGAGAAGAGUGGACGUGAUGCUAUUAGAGGGAUGACCAAAUCGCUUGUGCCAAAGACUGGUUUGAACCUGUUGACCAAGAUAGCAAGACUGAUUACGAUGGGAAGCUGAUGCAAGUUGAAAAGGUGUGUGGGAACUAGAAGAAACAGAAAAAGGAAUAGGAUAUAAACCAUUACUACACAGGCCCUUGAGAAGGACAUUCCCCGUGAAUUUGUCCUGAAUCCAAAAACCAAAGUCAUCACAAAUAAAUCGACAAUGAUUAUCUUUACACAGCCUAUAAACUGACAGCAGAUGUUGAGAUAGCUUAGGAACAUGCAACACUUGGUGUAAUUGUAAGGAGCAUUGUGGAAUAGUCAAAACAGAAAAGCCAAUACUAGAAAUGCUCAAACCUGAACCGCCUGUAGUGGUAAUAGCAUCAGGACCAGAGUAAGAAGUAGCCUCCUGAAGGUGAGACAAAUCAGAUGUCAUAUGAGCUGUGGCGCCAGUAUCAGCCACCCAAAUUGGUUCAGGAGGUGGAGGAAAGGUAGCAGCCAUAGCACUAAGAUUGAUGGAAGGAGGACGACCUUGAUAGGAGAAGUUGCCUCUAUGAUAACAUUGGAUGGCAGAAUGCCCAUAUUUCCAGCAAAUUUGACAUUGAACAGAAGAGGUAGGGGCUGAGGAUUGGUUGUGACGUUGAUAACAAUCGGCAGCAACAUGACCUCUCUUACCACAGAUUUGGCAAGUAGGCAUAUCAGUUCCAGGACCAAGAAUACCAGGAUUAGAGCUUGGUUGAGCAGGAUAAUGUCGAUGGCUAGAUUGGAAAGUAUGGCGACCUCUACCACGGCCCCUAAACUGAGAGCCACGGUGGUGAAAAUAACCACCAGUGUUAUGACCAUUGAAACCACUUUGAUAGCCGUUAGAACCUCCAUGGAAGCCAGAGGAAAAUUGAGAAGAUGGAGCUGACUUGAAGUUGGAAGAAAGAGGAUUAGAAUUACCUUCAUCAAGAACCAGAGCCUUGCCUUGAGACACUUGAUUCUGAACGUGCAUAGCAGAGACAAAUAGAGAAGAGGAAUGGGUCUGCUCAAUAGUAGCUUCUUCAGCAAGCAAUUGAGAGCGAAAAUCUUUAAGAGAUAACACAUUAUCUCUGCCUCGAACCAUACAUCGGAACGUGUUAUAGUCAGAAGAAAGGCCAUUGAGAGCCAAGAUCACAAUAUCUUCAUCUUCAAAAUAAACUCCAGCGGCAGAGAGAUGAUCACGGGCAUCUUUGAUUCUCUGCAGUUACUGAGACACGGGUUCUGAACCUUUCUUGAUAGUUUGAAGUUCACUCUUCAUUUGAAAUAUUCUUGCCUUGGUUACUGUAGAAAAACGAUCCUUCAAUUGAACCCACAUAUCAUGAGAACUGAUGCAGCCAAUGACAUAGGAAAUGGCAGUAGAAGAAAGAGUGGCAAUAAGUAGCUGCAUCAGUGCUCUGUCAUGCAUUUUCCAAAUCUGAUGAUCAUCAGAUUCAACACCCUCAAUAUCGGAAUCUGUAUAAAAUUGACUUGGACAUUUUCUGGAACCAUCAACAAAUCCUAGAAUUCCAUGACUUUCAAGAUGAAUUUUCAUUUGAAAUUGCCAAACGAGGUAGUUUGUAUCGUCAAGCUUCACUGUUAUAGCAGUAGAGAUUGCAGGAAGCAGAGAAGUGAUAGGAGAUUGAAUAAUCUGAAGUUGAGAGCUAGUCACCAUUUUAGAAUGUAGGAGAAAGCAGAAAAUUGAAGAUUAUAAUGUUCGGUGAAGUAAUAGAAAACUGGAGUUUUGAAGAAGAGAAUCAGUGAGGCAAUAUAUCAAAUAGCUGAUAGGCACAUCAAUAAGUGCACAAGAAUUUUAUGAAGAGGAUGAGAAUAAAGCCAAAAUUCAGAAGUUAAUGGCCACAAGAUCAAGAGUUCCAGUGCUCUGAUACCAUGAUAGACAGUAAUGUUUAUAUAGAAAUGAAAUAGAAAUGAAGAAAAAAAGCAGAGAGUGAAAAGAACGAAGAACAGAGAAUGAAUGAAUCUGUUAUGCACAGAGAAGCAGAAGACGAAUUCUAGCACUGUUUUAUUAUUUGCUUUUGCUUAAAUGUUUUCAUUACUCAUACUCAGUUUAUAUAUGUAGUAUUGGAAGAUACUAUACGAAGAAUAUUCUUCCUUUUACACACAAUAUAAAUGCUAACAGAUUCUCCUUUUGUAACAAAACUACUAACAGCAUUGUAACAAUAUUAAUUGCUAAUCUUCUGACACUUGGCAUCAUUAGGAUCGUUGAUAUCUUUACAGUAAGACCUUUUUCUUUGAGUGCUUGAAAUUGUUUAAACCCCAUGAAGCUGCAAGCAGAGAUAGUAAUGAACAAUUCAAUAGGGAUCCCGAGCAUCUCAGCAGCAGUGAUAGCGACAGGCAUGAAACCAUCAGAGACGAUGCAAGUCACAGGGGGAACAUCAGGUGAUGCUGUGUCAUUCAGCUUGUCUAGCAGGUCAUGAAAUGGAGCCAACAAGUUCUUACUGGCAGCUUCACAAAGUCCAGGCAAAUCUUGGGUGGCAUUCUCAUCCGAGGGAGGGAGGCCAUCAGGAAUGGACUCGAACCGAAAGUCCGGCAAACCUUUCAGGGAAUCAGGACCUCUAGAUUUAAGUAAACGCUUAUGGUUAAACUCUGUGUUAACAAAGGUGAUGUGAAAACCUUUGUGAUGUAGUAGUUUUGCUAGUUUAAGCAUUGACUUUAUAUGGCUUUGAUAAGGGCUAGGGAGACAGACUGCAUGAGGCUUAUGAUCAGCUAAAAUUUUACAAGUCAUGCCUCAAGCUCGCUCUUUCUUUCUCUUUUUCCUCUGCUACUUGAGUUUCUGCUAUUCUAUGUUAAAGUGAACACACCCAUCACCAACUUAUAUUUAUCAAUUUUGAAGGAUAAAACACUGCUAAAUUAGAAGUUGUUGUCAAGGGAUUGUUUUAUUUAUUUUCGACAUCGCAUGGAUUAAUUAAUUUUUCUCAUAAAAUUUCGUGACUGAGUUAUAAUUAACUCUCAAUCUGUGGAACUUUUAAUAGUGACCAGUAUUGCGACAGAUGUUCUCUUGAUUUUGGAGUCAUUGUCUGAUCUUUAAUUUUGUCAAAUGCAAAGAAAUCUGAAACACACUUGUUUUGUUUAUUCCUAUCCUCACACUAUUUUUCUCCUCAUGAGCCAAAAUAUGAUUAGAAAAGCACCCAAGUGGACAAUAAGCCAAAUUGGCGGAAGAAUCAAAAGCAAACAGAUGAAGACAACUUAUAGAAACAUAAACCAGAGACAAAAUAAUUUAUUAAACCGUUGGCUUUAAUGGACUCUCUUGUCCUUUGGAAAAGAUUCCACAUUCAACAGGAUAUCGACACUACUCACCUUGAAAACAACACUUUGUUUAUAUUAAACUUUUUUUUUAUUCCAUCAUGAAAGAACUUCCGUCACCAACGUGUCUACAUUCAUGGAUGAUAUUUAAUAAGUGUGUGUGUUCGCGGAAUUAUGUUUUUUAAAAUAUUUUAGUUAAAAUUAAUUUUUUUAUGUUUUUAGAUAAUUUUAAUGUAUUAAUGUCAAAAUUAAUUUUUAAAAAAUAAAAAAUAUUAAUUUGAUGCAUUUCUGAGCGAAAAAUAUUUUAAACUACAAUCGCUACCACACUCCUAACCACAAGAUAAUGUUUGGGUAUGAUAAUAAUUGUUUUUUAAAGUGUUUUUUGUUUGGAAAUAUUUUAAAAUAAUAUUUUUUUUAUUUUUUAAAAAAUAUUUUUAACAUCAAUAUAUAAAAAAUUAAUUUUAAAUAAAAAAAAAUCAAAUUUUAAUGAAAAAAAUCAAAUUUUAAUGAAAAAAAUCAAAUUUUAAUCAAAAACUAUUUGUAACUGAAUUCUAAACAGAGAUUUAACAGCAGAAUACAUGAGAUAUUAUUGGAAAUAUAUGCAUCCACCACAAUAACUUUAGAAAACAAUACGGGAAUAUAGUGUUUCUCUGUCUUGUUUUGAGCUUCAAUUAUUUUUUUGUUAUACGUCAUAAGUUUGGUUUCGUGACAAGAGCACUUCUUUCACCAACAUGUCUAAAUUCAUGGUUGAUGAACCUCUGGGGCCACUGGCCUCCUCUGCUAGUUUUUUCCAUUCUGUGGAUUUCUCCUUCAUUUUCUUACCUCUCUCCCCCUCCAUCAACUCUCUCACAAGCUUCUCCACAUUAUCUCUUUUCACAUUGCUAUCAAUCUCCAUUCCAAUUCCCCACUCAGUGCAUGUAUACCUACAAUUUGUUUGUUGAUCACCAGCGAAUGGCCAACAAAGCAUAGGCACACCAGAAGAAAUGCUCUCGAUUAUGGAAGUCCAUCCACAAUGUGUUAGAAAACCUCCAACUGAUGGGUGGUUGAGGACUUCCUCUUGUGGACACCAACUACAAAUAAAGCCCCUUUCUUUAGUUUCUUCAGUGAAUUCUGGUGGCGAUAUCGCGGAGUCGCCGGUGAUCAUGUCUGGUCGUAUUAUCCAUAAAAAUGGGUGACCACUUUUAGAAAGUCCCAUUCCCAAUUCAACGAGCUGCUCUUUUGUAGCCACUGCUAUGCUACCAAAAUUCACAUAAAUUACCGAGUUGGGUUUCUUGGAAUCAAGCCAUUGGAGACACUCAACUUCUUCUUUCCAUAGGUUACAAUCAAUAGAAUUUAGAUCAUCUUCUUGGAUUUGAUUGAGAAGUAAUUGAAGUGGACCGAUUGUGUAGACACGAGGGAAGAUAGGAUAAAGGGCAGUCAGGACUUCUUGCUCUAAAGCAUCGAAAGUAUGGAAAAUGACCGCAGAAGCUGAAGGAGCUCUCUCAGCGCAUCCUAGGCAGAAGUUGAACAUAAAAUCAGUUGCAUCUGUUGUACGAACAAAACUUGGAAGAUCUCUUAUCCGUAUAUCUUUCAUUCCUGGAAUCCAGUCUACUACCUUUUCCAGGAAGCCAUUUGUUAAAAAGCUCUCAUCUGAAACAAAAUUGAGCAAAUCAGUAUCUUUUAAUCGAUAGAGCUAUAUAAAUAGCUAGCAGUGAUUAAGCAGACAGGUAACGAAUUUCUUUAUAUGUAUAAGCAGAGACUCACUGAUACAAACUCCUAAAAGAACUAAAAGCGGUCUGAGCACAUUGUAGAGAACAUAUGACCUCUUCGAUGAGAGAAGAAAAUGUUGGAGAAUAAUAUAAAUUAUAUCUUGAAAUUUCAUCUAAUAAUUUAAGCUAUUGGGUUGAAUUGGUUCUUUGAUAUGAUAUUAGAGUUUUGAUAACCAAGUUGUCACGAGUUCGAAUCUCACCACCUCAUCUAUCUGAUAAAAAUUAAAAACAAAAUAGUAUGGGCCUUUGUAAAUUUUAAACCUAAAAACUUUCACUUGAAUAUGUAUAUUAGAGAAUAAUAUAAAUUAUAUUAAUUUUAAAACUUCACCUAAUAAUUUAAGCUAUUGAUUUGAAAUAGUUUUUUUUAUAAGAAAUAACUGAAUUAUAUAUAAUUCAUAUAAAAUCCAUGCAUAAUUUAUAUAAUACCCGGUGGACUUUCCAGUGAAUUAGAUGAAAAUCGAAGAAUGGAUUUUGUUUCUGGUAACAUAAAUAAUUUUUGCUUUUAUAAAUAGUUUUUUUACCGAUAUUUUAGACUAAAAGAGAUAUCAAUUUUUUACUUUUAUAUUGAAAUUGGAUUUGAAAAAUUUAUCUUACCAUAAUAAUUAGUUUUAUGGUUUCCUACUUUUAGAUCCCAGAAAUUAGUUUUUUUUUUUUUUUUUUUACCACUAUCUAUCCUUUAAACGGCAAGAACAACAAAUGAGCUUUUAAUUUUUCUCUUAUUCAUACCUUUCAGUGGUGUAAGACCUCUUUCUUUGAGCGCCUUGUAUUGUUUAAAGCCCAUGAAGCUGCAAGCGGAGAUGGUAAAUAACAGCGCAAUCGGAAUUUGGUGCAUCUCGGCAGAAGUGAUAGCUACUGGCAUGAAACCAUCAGAAAGGAUGCAGGUCACUGGGGGCGAAUCAGAAGCUGCUGUGUCAUUGAGCUUGUCAAGAACUUCAUUAAACGGAUCCAGCAAAUUCUUCGAGGCAGCCGCAACAGCUACAGAGAUAUCUGGGAUGACAUUCUCAUCUGAAGGAGGAAGGCCAUCAGGAAUGGACUCGAACCGAAAGUCGGGCAACCCAUUCAGGGAAUCAGGACCUCUAGAUUUAAGUAAACGCUUAUGGUUAAACUCUGUGUUGACAAAGGUGAUGUGAAAACCUUUGUGAUGUAGUAGUUUUGCUAGUUUAAGCAUUGACUUUAUAUGGCUUUGAAAUGGGCUAGGGAGACAGACUGCAUGAGGCUUAUGAUCAGCUAAAACACUAUAAACCAUCUCUCUAACUCACUCUUCGUUUCCCUGUUUGCUCCAAGUUCUCUGCAAUUUAGAGAUUCUACUCUUACAUAUAGCAAUAGUUAAGUUAUGCUAUUGCUGCUACAGUGUUUUUUUAUAAUAUUUUUUAUAUCAAUAUAUAGGACUUCUAAUUCAAGUCGCAUACGGCAGCAUUUAUUUUAUAUUUAAUCUUAAAGAUAUUAUGGAAAUCUGAAACCACAUGCUUCUUUCUCUACUUGCUCUUCGAUCUGUGCAAUUUAGAGAUUUUUUUUUUUUUUUUUGAUAAUCAUCGAGAGUAUAUUAAGAAAGCCAUAAAGCCAAUAGUCAAAGAGAAAUAUAAGGGAUAUGAGAAAAUAAAAAACUUAUUUACUACAACAAACAACAAAAAGACUGCCUAAGAUUUCUUAUUACACCACAAUUUGAUGCCAUCAGAAGAUCUUAAGAGGUCAUUUCCUGUAUAAGUGAAGUUUGAAUCUUGAGUAUGCAACCAAAUAGCAACCCGAUGAAGGAUGGUGGAGAAACAAUCAAACAAGUUUAAAGUUCCCUCCUCAAAAACAAUUUUGUUCCUCAGCAACCAAAUACCCCAAAUAGUACUACUUGAAAUUAGUCUCCAAGUUGAUCUUUGGAAUUUGCCAUGUACUAUUUCGGGCCACUGCAGAAGCAGCGAGUCAAGUGUUCUCGGUAAAUAAUAUUGGAUACCCCACCAAUCCAAAACUUUCAUCCAAACACUCCUAGAAAAGUUACAAUGUAUAAAAAGAUGCUCUGAGGUUUCCAAAUCUGAGCUGCAAAAGACACAUGAAGCUUGUGUGGCAGACAAAACAGUCCGUUGAUGAAGAAAAGCUCUUGUACUAACUUUGUCCUGUACUGCUAACCAGAGAAAUACCUGAACUUUCGGAGGGGCCCCUUUAAUCCAAACAUUUGCUUCGAAAACUCUAUCAUUCGCAGAGGAGGUAUUAUCAAUUAGAGUGCAACAGGAUUUAACUGAGAAGUUUCCAUCAGAAUUGCAUGGCCAAGUUUGUCAUCUUUUCCUUACUGAAUUUUCAUUGGCUCUAGCAUUGAGAGCAAAUAAUGAUAUUGUUGCUCUUCAUUGGCUCCAGCAUUGAGAGCAAUUUAGAGAUUCUACUCUUACAUACAGCAAUAAUUACGUUAUGCUAUUGCUGCAACUAUUUGUUUGUCUGCGAGACUGAAUCCAAAAUUGGCCCACAUGGCAUACAUUUAGUCCUUGUGUUUAUCAAGAUUUAUUUAAUUAAUUAGUCGUCAUAGUUUAGUAAUUAAAUGAUAAAUUUCUUUUCAGGGUUAACUACUAUAAUUAUUAAAUCUAGUUUGGUUUGGCAUGGUCGGUAGAUCUACCUGGUAAUCUAUUGACAUGAAGUCUAGCUUAUUCGAAGUUUCAUUUUGAACCAUUAAUCCAAUUAACUUAGUCAAAUUAAGUUAAGUUCAGUCAAAUUAACUGUAUUUUUUAAAAAAAUUUAUAUAAAAUAACAUUAUUUCAUUUAAAAACUAAAUGAUAUUAUUUUAAAGUUGAUUCAGAGUUUUAAUCUAAUAAACUCAUGACUUGAUAUUGGAUCAAGACAAGCCUUGAGAAAAGUCUCAUAACUAUGUUCAUUAUAACUUGAUCCCUAUAUGUAUUAAGAUUUAAUUAAUUACAUCCUCGUGGUUUAAUAAAUUAAAUAUUUAGUCAUGUUUGUAAAUCUAUUUAUAAUUUAAUUAUUUUUGUAAAUUUCAUUUUUUUUUUCUAAUUUAUUUUAAAAAAAUAGAAAAAUAAACAAUAUGAAAAGAUAGAUGAGAAAAGAAAACACUUUUUUUUGGACAAAAUACUACUAAAUUAAACAUGACUGUCAAAAUAGUAUUUUAUUAAUUUUCAAUAUCACUGAAAUUAAUUAAUUUUUUGAUAAAAUAGUAGCCACUUUGUUCUCUUAAUUUUUAAGUCACUGUCUGAUAUUAUUUAGUUUUUCAAAUGAACAGAAAUCUGAAACCACACGUUUUAUUUAUUCAUUUCCUUAACUUGUUUUAUUUAUUCAUUUCUCUUGAUAAGCUAAAAUAUGAUUAGAAAAACACCCAAGCGUGCAUGAAGCCAACUUGGCGGAAGAGUCAAAAGCAAACCGCAAACAAAAAUCAUAAAAUGAUUAGAUAAUCAAACAAGCUAGAAUAUUUGUUUAGUUUGUAAUAAUUUCGACAAUGAAUCUUCAUAUUCAAGAUAUUUUAGAAUAAAAAUGAUUUAUUUGAUAAUUAAUUGAUAUCUAAGUUCAAGCAAUUUGAUCUAUUUUUUUUAGUUAAGGUGUCUAAUGAUUUGAUAUGGAAAAGUCAAGGGGUUGGUAACUAGUAGUAGGUGAUACUUGGUAAGUCAAGGUAACCAAUAGCUAUAUUAGUAGGAGCAGGUGAUGCCAAGUGAACAGUAGUUGUGUUUUGUAGUAGCAGGUGAUGUCUGGUAAUCUAGGUGACCGGUAGCUAUGGUAGUAGCAAGUGACUGGUAGCUGAUACCUACAAAAAAAAAUUUUAUGGACGUGAGGACUCUUCGAUGAUAAAAUCAAUAACUUUAUAAAGAGAGAAAGUGAAAUGAUAUUUUAUAGAGAUAAAUUCUAAAAAUAUAUGUGCUAAAAAUGUUAAUAAUGAAGAGAUUAUGAAUCUUGAGCUUGAAAGAUUCAUUAUGUAUUUAUAACUCAUGAAUCUUAUCUUUCUGUUAAGAGAAGGGGUUGAAUUGUGAUCUCAUUGUUGAUGCUGGGGAGUACGCCCAGCUAGGCACCCAUGCACUCGACGUAUGAUCAGUGCACUGCAUAAGCGUACAUCUUUCUUUUCCUAUCUAGUAACCACCAACUCUUCGGUUAUUUCAUAUAUACCUCUACGUUAAUAUUACCAUUUUAAAAAAUUAUUUCUAUAACCAUUUGAUGUAUUUCAAACUUUUUAAUAGUUAUGAUAGCUGUAAACAUUUUUGUGGAAGUUAUUCUUAACAAAAUUGAAUAUGUGUCAAAAUAAUCUACAUCUUGUUAUCUAAAAUAUUUAACAACAAGUCUAACUUUAUAUUUGUCAAUAUUUGCAACUUUUAUCUUUGUUUUAAAGAUCCAAAUAUGUUCUAAUAAUUUAUUUCUAGAAGAAAAAUCCACUAGUUUUUCAUGUAUUAUUAUUCAUAAUAGAUUCAAUUUUAUUAUUAACUAUCUCCUUCCAAAAACAUCGGAGUAUGUUCGAUGUUCAUUUUCUAAUAAGUAUAUUCAAAAAUCUAGAUAAUAUUUUACCUUUUUAGUUCUUCUAGGCUUAACUCCAUGAUUUUUCAAUCGAUGAUGAUUACUUAGCAAUGUAAAAGAAUCAACACUAAACAUUAGCCUGCCAUAUUAUUUAGCAAUUUAAAAAGCUUAGGAUAUGAUGUGUGUUUAUAUCAGAUAUUAUUAAGCAAUAUAUCAACCCUAAUCACCUUGAAAACAAUACAUUUGUCUUUUGCUUAAAUUAUCUUUUAAUAAAGAAGCAAAUUUUUUUCUUAUGACAACAGCACUUCCGUCACUAACUUGUCUAAGUUCAUGGAUGAUGAACCACCGGGCCCAGUGGCCUCCUCAGCUAAUUUUUUCCACUCCAUGGCUUUCUUCUUCAUUUCUUUAGCUUUCUCUCCCUCCAUAAACUCUCUCACAAUCUUCUCCACUUUAUCUCUUGUCACAUUGCUAUCAAUCUCCAUUCCAAUUCCCCACUCAGUGCAUGUGUACCUACAGUUUGUUUGUUGAUCACCAGCGAAUGGCCAACAAAGCAUAGGCACACCAGAAGAAAUGCUCUCAAUUAUGGAAGUCCAUCCACAAUGGGUUAGAAAACCUCCAACUGAUGGGUGGUUGAGGACUUCCUCUUGUGGACACCAACUACAAAUAAAGCCCCUGUCUUUAGUUUCUUCAGUGAAUUCUGGCGGCAAUAUCGCACAGUCGCCAGCGAUCAUGUCAGGUCUUAUGAUCCAUAAAAAUGGGUGACCGCUUUUUGCAAGUCCCAUUCCAAAUUCAAUGAGCUGCUGCUUUGUAGCGACUGCUACGCUGCCAAAAUUAACAUAAACGACAGAGUUGGAUUUCUGGGAAUCCAGCCAUUGGACACAUUGAACUUCUUCUUUCCAUAGAUUACUUCCAAUAGAAUUCAGAUCAUCUUCUUGCAUUUGAUUGAGAAGCAAUUGAAGUGGACCAAUCGCAUAGACACGAGGAAACAUGGAGUAAAGGGCAUUCAGAACCUCUUGCUCCAAAGCAUCAAAAGUAUGGAAAAUAACGGCAGAACCUUCAGAAGCCCUCUCAGCACAUUCCACGCAGAAGUUAAACAUAUAAUCAUUUGGAUCUGUUGUUCGAACAAAACUGGGAAGGUCCCUUAACUUUAUAUCUCUCAUUCCUGGGAUCCAAUCUACCACUUUGUCCAAGUAGCCAUUUGUUAAAAAGCUCUCAUCUGCAAACAAAAAUUGAACGUACAUAUAGCUUUUAGUAACUGAAUAAAAGUGGCUGCAGAAACAGAGAAAAUAUAUAUAUAAAAAAAGAAGGUUUCCUAGCUUGUACCCCUAGUGAAAAGAAUGAAUAAUUAAGGGCAACAGUUUACUUACAGGAGAAAAUAUUUUGAAUUAAUGAACUAAUAAAAAAACCUUAAUGAAAUUAUAAUUACGUUUUUUUCCUUGUUCAUACCUUCUAGUGGUGUCAGACCUUUUUCUUUGAGUGCUCGAAAUUGUUUAGUCCCCAUGAAGCUGCAAGCAGAGAUAGUAUAGAACAAUGCAAUAGGAAUUUCGUGCAUCGCAGCAGCAUCGAUCGCGACUGGCAUGGCACCAUCAGAGACGAUAUAAGUCACUGGGGGGACAUCAGAAGAUGCUGUGUCAUUCACCUUGUCAAGCAGGUCAUUAAAUGGACCCAAUAAGUUCUUCCUGGAAGCCUCACAAAUUGCAUAGAAAUCGUGGGCGGCAUUCUCAUCCGGAGCAGGGAAGCCAUCUGGAAUGGAUUCAAACCGAAAAUCGGGCAAACCAGUCAGGGAAUCAGGACCUCUAGAUCUAAGUAAACGUUUGUGGUUAAACUCUGUAUUGACAAAGGUUAUGUGAAAACCUUUGUGAUGUAGUAGUUUCGCUAGUUUAAGCAUUGAGUUUAUGUGGCUCUGAGCUGGGUGGGGAAUGCAAACUGCAUGAGGCUUAUCAACUAAAAUAUUAGAAGCCAUCUCUCUAAUCUCCCUCUCUCUCUCUCUCUCCUCUGUUGUCCUCGCAGUAGAGAUUCUGGCCUUUGUAUAGGCUUUAUCAACUUAGGAUCACACUGUUGGUGGGAUUGAAAUUAAAGAAGACAAUGCUGUAAAUAAUGAAGAUUAUCAACUUUAUUAAUUUUUUUUUUAUAAAUAUAAAGUAUAUAUAAGGUUUUUUAUUCUAUAUUAGAAAAAUAAGAUCUCCAUAUAAUAUUUAUAUAGUAAAAUUUGAUAUAAAAUAGUAAUUAAUAAAGAAAAUGAUAAUUGGCUGGCAUGUAUAAGAUUGAGCUAGAAAAAAAUAUCUGAUUACCCGUGCAUAGCUAUAUAUACUUUUGUUUUCAGUAAUAAUUUAUUUUUGAUUUUUUUUUUUUGUGUUUAUUAUUUUGAUCUUUAUCUAACUGUUUUUAUAAUUCUUAUUUUUUUAAAAAAAACUUGUUGAAUUCUAAAACAGUCUUGUUUUUGAAAAAAAUAUCUUCAAGGAUAGAUACUGCAGGCCUUUUUUGUUCUUCGUUAAUUUAUUACAACAGAGACUGGUGGUGCUUCUGGAAGAUUAAAUCGAUCAAAAAACGAACUUCAAUUUAGAUUUUGAGAUCAAAUACAAAACAAAGACAACUCUCUUCAAGCUCUCUCUCUCUCUCCCCUUCACUUUUCUCUCACCCAACCUCUUUAUUAACAGUGGAAAUAGAGAAACCAUCCCCAUUCUCAAUUUAGAAUAUGAUUAGAAACACACCCAGGUGGACAUGAAGUCAGCUAGACGGAAGAAUCAAAAGCAAGCCGCAGGUCGAGAAUUCUUCAGAAGAAACAAAAACCAGAGCACAGUAAUUUAUUAAAGCAGUGGACACAAAUCCCUUGAGCGGACUCUCUUGUCCUUCGGUAAAAUUACUACAGCAAGUACUGCAUCAUUUAGGAAAAAGACUCAGCAGUCAACACUAGCCAGCCAUAAUAUUUAGCAAUAAUUUAUAUCAGAAAAGCUUAGGAUAUCGUAUAUGUUUAUAUGAAAUAUUAUUAAACAACGAAUCAACACUACUCGCCUUGAAAACAACACAUUUGUCUUGGGCUUUAAUUAUCUUUUAAUAAAGAAACUUUUUUUUUUCUUCAUGAUGAAAGCACUUCCGUCACUAACGUGUCUAAAUUCACCACUGGGGUCAGUGGCCAAUUUUUCCAUUCUGUGACUUUUACAGAAUUAAAGCAUAGUGUGAAAGCCAAAAAAAAUAGUAAUAAUAAAUAAAAUAACAUAAUUAAUUAGGCUUUUUUUAUAUAUCCUUUUACUAUUUAAGAGUAUUUUAAGUGAAGUGAGUAUAUAAUAAAGAAAAUAAAAAAUUAUAGUAAUUUACACUCUAUUUUAUCAUACUAUAAAAACUUUUAAUACACUACGGAAAAAGAAAUAAAAAGCUAAUAACCACCUUGUUUUAUGAAUUCAUUCAAGUGGCUCACAGCAUACAUUUAGUCCUCAUAUUUAUUGUUUUGAUAUAUUAGUGUUAAAAAUAAAUUUUAAAAAAUAAAAUAAAUAUUAUUUUAAUAUAUUUUUAAAUAAAAAAAUAUUUUAAAAAAUAAAUUAUUCCAUCUAGACUUUACAAUAUACCCGACUCAGCGGAAGAGUCAAAAGCAAAAAGCACACAAUUCUUAAGAUGAAGACAACGUGUAGAAACAAAAACCAUAAAAUAAUUAGAUAAUCAGAGAGCGAGUACAAUCAUAGCUUUUCUGUCUCUCUCUUUGAAAAUUGAGGCACAGAGAGAGAAAGGAGAGAGAACUCGCAGGAGAGAGGGCUUGAGCUGGAAGGGGAAAAAACUGAUGCAUAGAGGGAGUGUUUCCUGCCGAGAGGGAGCAGUGCUUGAUUUAUUUUUAUAAAUUAAAAAUUUAAUAACGUUACAAUCAGAAAAUUUGUUUUGUAAAUUUAAUAAUUUAUAAAAUUAAUUUAAUAUAAUAUGUAAGACUAUUUAAAUAGAAAAUCCUCAAAUCUAAUUAAGAAAAAAAAAUCUAAAACUAAGAAAAUAAAUGUAAAUUAUUUGGCAAUGCAAACACCAUAAUCACCUUGAAAAUAAUACAUUUGUCUUGAGAUUUAAUUAUUUUUUUCUGAUAAACAGACCAUAAUAUUAUUUUUAUGACAAAAGCACUUCCGUCACCAGCCUGUCUAAAUUCAUGGAUGAUGAACCACCGGGCCCAGUGGCCUCCUCGGCUAAUUUUUUCCACUCCAUGGCUUUCUUCUUCAUUUUCUUCCCUUCUUCUCCUUCCAUCAACUCUCUCACUUGUUUUUCCACAUUUUCUCUCGUCACAUUGCUAUCAAUCUCCAUUCCAAUUGCCCACUCAUUGCAUGCAUACCGACAGUUUGUUUGCUGAUCACCGAAGGAUGGCCAACAAAGCAUAGGCACGCCAGAAGAAAUGCUCUCAAUUGUGGAACCCCAACCACAAUGUGUUAGGAAACCUCCAACUGAUGGGUGGUCGAGGACUUCCUCUUGUGGACACCAGCUUGAAAUAAAGCACCUGUCUUUAGUUUCUUCAGUGAAUUCUGGCGGCAAUAUCGCACUGUCGCCAGCGAUCAUGUCAGGUCUUAUGAUCCAUAAAAAUGGGUGACCGCUUUUUGCAAGUCCCGUUCCAAAUUCAAUGAGCUGCUGCUUUGUAGCGACCGCUACGCUGCCAAAAUUAACAUAAACGACAGAGUUGGGUUUCUGGGAAUCCAGCCAUUGGAGACACUCAACUUCUUCUUUCCAUAGAUUACAUCCAAUAGAAUUCAGAUCAUCUUCUUGAAUUUUAUUGAGAAGCAACUGAAGUGGACCCAUCGCAUAGACACGAGGAAACAUGGAGUAAAGGGCAUUCAGAACCUCUUGCUCCAAAGCAUCAAAAGUAUGGAAAAUAACGGCAGAACCUUCAGAAGCCCUCUCAGCACAUUCCACGCCGAAGUUAAACAUAAAAUCAUUUGGAUCUGUUGUUCGAACAAAACUGGGAAGGUCCCUUAACUUUAUAUCUCUCAUUCCUGGGAUCCAAUCUACCACUUUGUCCAAGUAGCCAUUUGUUAGAAAGCUCUCAUCUGCAAACAAAAAUUGAACGUACAUAUAGCUUUCAGUAUUGGAACUAUUUUUUUUCCUUAUAAACGUUAUGCUAGCAAGUGAAUAAAAAUGACUGAAGAAACAGAGAAAAAUAAAAUAAAUAUAAAGAAGGUUCCCUAGCUUGUGUCCUAGUGAAAAACAUGAAUAAUUAAGGGAAAUAGUAUACUUGUAGGAGAAAAUAUUCACGAGUACAACUCACCUGAAGUCCACUCAAAUAAUUAAUUAUGAGGGAAUAACUAUAAACAAAGUGAUUAUUGUAGAAAUCCUCUCUUUGUGAGUGUGGAUUAUUGAGCCUGACUGGUGCAAUAAUUUAUUUAUUUGGAGACAUUUCAAGCAACUACAAAUCUUAAUGAAACUAUAGUUUUUUUUUUCUUUGUCCAUACCUUUUAGUGGCGUAAGGCCUUUUUCUUUGAGUGCUUGAAAUUGUUCAAUCCCCAUGAAGCUGCAAGCAGAGAUAGUAAAGAACAACGCAAUAGGAAUUUCGUGCAUCGCAGCAGCAUCGAUAGCGACUGGCAUGAAACCAUCAGAGACGAUGCAAGUCACUGGGGGGGCAUCUGAAGAAGCUGUGUCAUUCAACUUGUCAAGCAGGUCAUUAAAUGGACCCAGUAAGUUCUUCCUGGAAGCCUCGCAAAUUGCAUACGUAUUCUGGGUGGCAUUCUCAUCCGAAGGAGGGAGGCCAUCCGGAAUGGAUUCAAACCGAAAAUCGGGCAAACCAUUCAUGGAAUCAGGACCUCUAGAUUUAAGUAAACGUCUGUGAUUGAACUCUGUAUUGACAAAGGUAAUGUGAAAGCCUUUGUAAUGUAAUAGUUUUGCUAGUUUAAGCACUGAUUUUAUGUGGCUCUGAGCUGGGGUGGGAAUGCAGACAACAUGAGGCUUAUGAUCAGCUGAAAUAUUACAAGCCAUCUCUUUAAAUCCCCCCCCCCCUUUUUUCUUGUUUUUUCUUGUUUUUUUUUUUGCCCUUUCUCUCUCUGUUUGCUCCUUUGCAUGCUCAGAAGAAGUUCUGGUAUUUGUAUAAAGCAAUGCUAAAAUUUCUGCUGCAAUUGUUUUUGUUUGUGUGCGAAAGGGAAUCUAACUUAGAACCACACAGCACUGCCUCCAUCACUUUAUCUGGAGAACUUUUAAUCUUAGCCACGUUCAGCAGCGUUGUGUUUUUUCUUCUGGAAUAUUCAACGUGGGGUUUUUAUUGUGAAAUUAAUGUACUUAAACCCUAUUUUAUUAGAGUUAAUUUAAAAGCAUUCCUUAACCGAGUCUUAUGAAAUUUAGAAUUACUGUAUAUUUUCAUGGUUAUUAAAUUUAAAAUUUAUAAGAUAAUUUGUAAGAUUAAUUAAGAUACACAUAAACUGACAUGAAAAUUCAUGUUAAUUUAAAAACGUUUAUCACCCUGUGUUUAUACAACAUUAGUGGUAUGCGGUCAUGAGAUUUUUUUUAUUUAAUUUUGUGAUAAUUAUAAUAUAUAUAUAUAUAGAAAAAGACAACCAAUUAAUUAAAUUCUAGAGUAAAAAAUGUUUUUUUCUUUAGAAAAAACUUUCUUUUUUUAUUCAUGCUUUUUUUCCCCAAUAAAAACAUGUCUUCUUUAUUAGUUGCAUUAUUUUUCAAUAAAAACUAAAAGUAAUUAAAAUAAAUAUUUUUUAAAAAAUUAAAUUAUUUUAAUUAAGGAGAAAAAAUAUAUAUAUCUGAAUCAAAACUCCCCUUUUCUUGUUCAUGUAUCUCUAUUUCUUAAUUUUUAACAAAAAUAAUUUUUCUAUCAAAAGCAUCGUUUCCAAGGAAAAUUAUGAUUAGCUUCAUCUAAUCCAAUCAGGUAAAUAUUGAAGCCCUAGAUAUAAUAUGAGAUAUAUUUUCAUCAUAAGCCCAAACCUUAAAGCCCAAGAUAUAAAUUACGAAUCCUAUCGUUACAGCAUCAACAAAAGUUUCUCACCUAGCUUUUUCGCCACACGAAACUACUUCGCUUCCAUUUUCGAAGGCACAAAACCGAGAAAGAAAAAUGAAGCCUCGUCAAGAACAAGAAGAAGACGAAGAACGACUUCGUCAAAGAAAACUUGAAGAAUCCCUUGAAAUAAAAUCUCUCCGGCGCAUAGUCAGUGCCUACCUUAAGUAAUUUUAUUGCCCCUUUCUCUCUCAAUUUCCUUUCUUUCUUUCUUUUUUGUUUUGAUUGGAUCUUUUGUGUGUAGUUAUGCAGAGGCAGCAGAAGAGGAUGUGAAAAGAUACGAAAGAUCGUUUAGGAAGCUUCCUCCUUCUCACAAAGUGGGUUCUUGGGGUUUUUUUUCUUUAACUGUUUUCUUGAAAUCUUGAAAGAUUGAGUAAAGUUAUGGGAAAUGAAAUAGGAAGCUACUGAAUUAGGAAUUAAAGGGAAAUGGGAUUUAGAAAAAAAUGAAUUUGCUGUACUGCUUACUUAAUUUUGUGUCACUGAUUAUUGAUUUUAAUGGAAUUAAAGUCAAGUCACUAACUACCCCACCAGGUGCAUUGACUUGAAGUCACUGAAACCAGCAGCAUUGUGACUGCAAUGUUCUUAAAGUAAUUUCUGAAUUGUGAAUAUAGAUAUUAAAUUGUAUGUUAAAUUUUUGUUUUACUGUGACUAAACUGGAAUUUAGGAAUUUGAAUUUUAUUUGCAAUAUCUAAUAUUUACGGCUUGAAUAUACGCCAGAAAGUUUUGAUUUUUGGCUUUGUUACAAGGAAAAAUUUAUGAAUUAUAUACGUUCUUUUGAUGAUAAUGGAUUCUGGAUAACAUGGGAUAUAUCUGUUUUUCUUAAAUAUAUUUUACAGGCUUUGUUAUCACACUACCCUUUGAAGUUUCAAAGUCUAAGAAGGUAAUUCCCCGAGAGUGCUAUUGCUUGGUUUAGGUUUCACAAGUUCACACAGACACAUGAGCAGACUCUUAGAAAGCAAUUGCCUUGAGUAUGGAAAAGAAAUAUUAAGUUAGUGUAAUGUUGGAGUUUGUGAACAAUUUGCUUUUUAUUCUGCAGGUGUAUUUCUAUAAAUUCGUAUUUCAUAUUUAAUAUGCUUCAGGUCAGAUGAGCUCUAUGUUCUCUUUAUUGAUUUUCUCUUUUGAUGCUCUACUAUACAUCUUUAUUUUCACAUCUCCUUUUGUUUGAUGUUUUAAUUCUGUAAUAUUAUGUGAGUUCUAUGGAAAAAAAAUAAGGUAUAUUAUUUUUAUUAUGAUUAGCAAUCACUUUUCAGGCAUUUGAGCCACCCCUGGAUAUGAGCCAGGACAUUGAUGACUCUGGGGAAUUGCACUUUGAAUGGCCACCAAAUGAUGGGAAUGUUUGCUCUCAUGAGUCUACCACAGCUAGGGGAAGUUGUUCCAAACUUGAUGAAGCUUGCUGUGGAGAAUCAAGCAAUGUGAUGAGCAAACUAGCAGAGGGUUUGACGGCCAAUGAGGUCUCUGCAAAAUGGCCAUGUGAUGUUUUGUAUAGUGACUGUCUAAACUGCAAAAAAAAUUUCUUCCACUUCUAUGUCUUUUCAUUUAGAAGUAUGACUUCUGUAGAUAACAACAGGAAGUGCAAAUUGAAGGUUGUCAUGGGUCUGAUACUGGGAGCUGUCUGGCAGGCGAGGAAAAUAACAAAAUGACAGCUGAAUGUUGUGGGAAUCAUGUUUCUGAUUCCAAUGGAAAUGUAAUGCUAUUUAGUUUGCCUAUUUUAUCUCAAGGUUCCUUGUUUGUUUAUAAUUAGUUUUUGUUUUUUGCUAGAUUUGCAAUGAAUUUCUCUUCAAGCCAUCAUUUUCUUCUUAUUCUAUGUAUAGUGAAACUUACUUUCUUGCAUAUAACAAUGUACAUUCAGGUCCCGUCAUCACCUCGUGAUUGGUUGGAUCCAUCAUUUCAGUUGCAUGUUCCCCUGGUUGAUGUUGAUAAGGUAUAUUGGUUAUCUUGGCGCAUAAGCAAACUUUGCAAGCUUUGCUACCUUAUUUAUAUGGUAAAAUAUGUGAAUAAACAAUGAUUUUUUUUAUAUCUUAAUUCUAAGUUAUUUUAAUGAGGUCACAUGUAAUUGACAUGGCUGAUGAAAGUCAUUCUUUUUUGCCUUAUAUUGGUUUGAUGAAUCUUCAAAUUUGGGUCAAUAAUUCAACUUUGAAAUUAUUGUUUUGGAUAAUUAAGAUGGAUCUGUCAUUAAUGAUGAUGAGCAAAAACACUGAUGAAUUGGUCAUGAAUUAGCAUAUGAUGUAUGGGAAAAAUGAUGGAAAAAAAAUGGAUCUCACACACACAAGAUACAAUCAGUGUUGUCAUGAGGUGCCGAGGCGCUCCAAGCUAGGAGAGGCGAGGCCCAAGCGCCUUUAUUAGCCUCGGGUGUCGGAUUUCACUAAGGUAAUCAUUUUCGGUUCGGUUCGGUUUUUAUAAAAAAAAAGUAACCAAACCGAAAUUUUUUUAAAAAAAAAAACCGAAAUCGAUUCAAACCGAUCAGUUUCGAUUUGGUUUUUUAGGACAAAAACCGGUCCAAACCGGUUUGACUUGGUUUUUUCGGUUUUAGGCUUAUAAAACCGAAACCGAACCGAACUGGUCAGUUUUUUAAAAAUUUUAAUCGGUUUAAUCAAUUUUUUUCACUGAUUGGUUUUUGUGGUUAUUUUUUUUCCGGUUUUCUCGGUUUAAUCGGUUUUUCGGUUUAUUUGCUCACCUCUAAAUUUCAAUGAAGUGCCACCUAGGCGAGCACCUUGAGAGUGGGUGCAAGGCAUUAAGGCUAGUGCCUGCUUGAAUUUCUUUCUUUUUUGUUGUUUUUUUUUUAAUUAAUUUUUAUUUUGUUCUAUUUGUUUAUUUUUUUAACUGAUAUUUAUUUAUUUUUUUAAUCUGUUCGGCUACUUACUAUAAAGUAUCUAUUUUAUUUUUAAGGGUGAAAAAUAUAACUUUAUACGACUAUGUUAUGGUAUUUUAUAUUUUCUUUUGAUUUUCUAAUUAUGUAAUCUUAAUUGAGAAGAUAUAUAUAUAUUAGAUUUAAAAAUAAAUUUAUAGUAUAUCGCCUUGGUUCAUUUAGGAGCGCCUAGCGCUUCGGGCAUUUUACAGGCUUGGUGUCUUUUAACGCAUUUUGCCUUUGACAACACUGGAUACAAUUGGUGUUCUUUGUGGAAUGUGUGAUUACUAAUGCUGCCAUUGUUUUUCCAUUUUCAUAGGUCCGUUGUAUACUAAGAAACAUAGUAAGAGACUGGGCAGCAGAGGUAAUGAUGCGUCAUUGCUUUCCUGUUUCUAACUCAUCAUCUGUGAUUUCUGAGGCCAAGGUUUAUGUGUUCCCACUGUUCCUACACUGAUGCAGGGACAGAAAGAACGUGAUCAGUGCUACAAGCCUAUUCUUGAAGAGCUCAAUUCUUUAUUCCCUAGUCGUUGCAACAAAAGGUACAUAAUUUCCUUAUGUGUUUACCAUUUUAGGAAUGCAAUUUUGUGCUUGGUGAUUGUGAUAUACAGAAUGAUAUAUAAUCUGUCAUGGAAUAAUGUUUUAUUUACUAUAUAACCAUAAAUUCAUUGCACAGUCCCCCUACAUGUUUAGUUCCUGGUGCUGGUCUUGGGCGUCUGGCCUUGGAGAUUUCAUGUUUGGGUAUGUAUUAAAGAUGUGAAGUUAUUACAAAUUCUAUUUUGGCAACUUUAUAUGGAGCCCAACACUUAUCAUAUGAUAAUGCAGGUUUCGUGAGCCAGGGAAAUGAAUUUUCAUACUACAUGAUGAUAUGCUCAAGUUUUAUUCUUAAUCAGUAAGGACUUCUAAUAAUUUCUUGCUAAUCUUACUGUAUGUAUGCUCUUGGCAGUAAUUAAUCUUUGAAUGAAUGAAUAUCACUCUCUCCCUUUCUUUAGUAAUGGGUAGUUUGAUUGUAUUAGGACCCAGAAUGCAGGGGAAUGGACUAUAUAUCCUUGGAUCCAUAGCAAUUGCAAUUCACUUUCAGACAGUGACCAACUCCGUCCUGUUUCAUUUCCAGAUAUUCAUCCAGCAAGGUAUUCAUGCUGCACUUAGUAUUUUUUUCAAAACUUUGCAUAAAAUUUUUAACAAUAACUAUCUGCAUGUCAUUUUAAAUCCAUAUUGACUUUUAUAAUAAGCAGUGCAGGGAUUACUGAAGGAUUCUCCAUGUGUGGUGGUGACUUUGUUGAAGUCUAUAGUGAUCCAAGUCAAGUAGGUAGGAGAAUUUAAUUCCUUUUAAUUGUUCAUGGUACAAAUAAUUGCUGGAACUUUGGCCACUGAAAUGGGCAGAUAUUUUGAUUAAUUUUAUUCCUUGCUAAUGAAACUUUUAUUUAUGUAAUAGUACUUUGAUUUGCAGAAGACUAGACAUGGUAUCAUAGGCACAAAUUAUUCUUGCAAUGUCCUUGCUUUGAAGGUAAUUCUUAUGGAGAGUAAUUGUAUGAUAUGCAGGAGUUUGGGAUGCAGUUGUAACUUGUUUUUUUAUUGAUACGGCACACAAUAUUGUUGAAUACAUUGAAAUCAUAUCAAGGAUUUUGAAAGAUGGGGGGGUGAGUUCCUUGAAGCUGUUUGAAACACUGUAUAUUUUCUGCUAUUUUUCACCAUGGAAUGAGCUCACUUAGGUGAUGACAGGUUUGGAUAAAUCUGGGACCACUCCUGUAUCAUUUUGCAGACAUGUAUGGACAAGAAGAUGUAAGCUUCAUUUUUCCACAAUGUUCAUAUAUAUACAUAUAUAUGGUGCUGUUUUGAUGCUGGUUUCUUUCUAAUGCAUUAACCCCUUUUCCUUUAGGAGAUGUCCAUUGAACUGAGCUUGGAAGAUGUAAAGUGUGUUGCGUUUAAUUAUGGGUUUGAAGUUGAGGUAAUAAUCUCAACUCCGUAUAUUUUUGGUUAUCUUGCAUGACCGAAUGCUUUUCUUUGCUGACUGCAUCUCCCAGUAAUUUAAAAAUGUACUGUUCUAUUUAUGGGCUGCAGAAGGAAAAGACAAUUGAGACAACCUACACUACAAAUCCUCGAUCAAUGAUGCAAGUAAGCUUCUCAGACCCAUGUUGGAAAUUCUCUGUUAAAUGUUUUCUCUGCCUGCUUUAUAAAUUUAAAAAGUGGGGGUGGGGGACGGUGCCUCUCCUCCUCAAAAUAUCAUCUGUGCAGUAUUUAUAGAAGUGAUCUAAGGACUAAGAAGCUUCUGUUGUGGCUUAACAAACUCGCUCACCAAAUGUGCUUACCUAUGUCAUGAGUCCCCAACAUGCUAGAUCCCUUCUCUUUCUUUUAGGCCAAUGAAGGCCACCAAAUUCCCUUUUGCUAAUCAGAUCUGACUUUUGUAGUUACAGAGUUUACCUUCAGCUCACGCUGGCGUGGUAUUUGCAAACAUAUUUGACUUUGAUUUUUUGCAGAACCGAUACUUUGCUGCAUUCUGGACAAUGAGAAAGAAAUCGGCAGCGGUGGAAAAGCAUUCAACAUGAUAAGCAGCGGUGGAGAAGCAUUUUGCAUGAUGAUUACCGGCCUUUGUAUUAUGUGGUCUACUAUAUUGUUAAUUUUUUUUUGUUAAUUAACGUGGGUAUCCAGGCCAGCUUGUAUGUACCUCGACUAAUCCCACGGACCCUGAAAUUAACGACUAUAUAAGCCUCCAGUAGUUCUGAGGGGAUUCGAACUCGUAACCAUUGGAAAGCAAACCCAAGACUUGACCAGUUGAGUUAGCCCUCAGUGUUUAUCUGCUAUAUUGUUCCUUCAUGUAAAAGCUGCAUACAGUGUCCAGUAAAUUGAAAUGUAUUUCUUGAAAAUAAUAUACAAGGUUGAAGAUUAAUUUGAGCGAUGUGUCAAAUUGUGACAGAUAGAAAGACUUUCCUUUUUCUUUUUGUUUUUGGUGCCAAGUUUUUCCUAGUUCGUAAUCUCAAAUUCUGGAACAGUGUUUAAGAGAUUAAUUAUCAUUUUCCUGCUUGAUCACAGAAUUAUAGAUUUACAAGUUUACAACUAUAAAAACUAAUGUAGUGUUGGGAACAUGGGACAAGACAAAACGUUACUUGCACUGGUGUUUGAUGGAUAGACCAAGAGCAGUUACUUUAAAAACACUGAAACACUCGAUCCAUAGGCAAUGAAUCGAGUGUUGUCGACAGCAGUUUCAACAUCGAUGGCUUUCUUCUCCUUCUUCUUUCUUGAACAGGAACUAAACUUUGCGAUCUGUCAAGCAAUAAAUGGAUAUUCAACAACAAGAUUCCAGAUUAAUGGACAAUCAUAGACUGCUUAAGAAUACUUGGGGUUGUAUAAUUUGCAUCAUGUAAACCCCAUUUAACAACUAAGAAAGAGAUUUAGGAGUAUUCAACAACUAAACAAAUAAAUGUAUAAUUUGCAUCAUGUAAACCCCAUUUAAAAAGGACAAUCAUAGACUGCUUAAGUCAAUAAUUGUUGGUCCAUAAUGCAAAACUUUUCAUAAAAAUAAUAAUAAUAAUAAUAAUAUGUAACGUCUCAAGCUAAGAAAGAGAUUUAGGAGUGUUUAAAAACGCGAGUAUAGCUGCAAUGCAAUUCACGUUCUCAAGAUAUGUUUUUAGCUAUUGUUUUUUUUAACUACAAAUACAACAAUAGAUUUACUAGCUAUAUAUUCUUUUUAUUUUAUUUAAUCUUUAAUAAUCCUCAAAUUGAGAAAUAGCACAUCACAAAAAUGUAGUCGGUUUCAAUCUCCUCAUAGCUCAUCUCUGUACGUAAAUCUGUAAUUAAUGUAUAAUAAAUAAAUUAAAAAAGUUGAUGAUGAAGAUCCAGCCGUUUCCUGGGGGUGUUUUGUUAAUGGAGGAACACCAUUGAUGGCGGAUAUGAUGGCGGUUGGUGGUUUAGAAUAAAAAAAAAAAGUGAAUUAAUUCAAUUCAAAUCAAACUAAUUUUAUAAGAAUGUGUGAUGUAUUUAGAAAUUAAAUAUUAACGAUAAUGGAUCUAAGAGAAAACAAAUCAAAUAUGAAAUAAAAGAAUAAAAUAUAUAUAUAUUAAAAAAAACCCACCUCAUGACUGUUCAGGUCCUUGAAAACAUCAGAGUUUUUUUUUAAGAUGUACAAGGGAAUCAUCUACCACGCGAUUCAUGCAUUAAAUUCUAUCUAAUACGGUGAUGCCUGUCCUGUCCUGCAAGCAUACACGCUUAGAUUUGUAUAUAUACGACAAUCAUUAGUUAUGUAAAUAGUUUUAGUUACUUCAUGCCGGCGCGCUGCCGCAGGUUUAUAAAACAAAUAUAUUUAAUAGUGUUAUAAUUAUGAACCAGCGCUAGAUAAAUAAUAGAAACUAAAGGUAUGAUGAAGCUAAUAUUUCAUGACGGAAAAAAAAAUUGUGUUGGUGAUCAAAACUUAGAGACUAAAAAUAAUAAUUUGUAGCAAUCCAUAGUGUUUUGGGAGGAAAGAUACAGUGCUUUCGCCACAUGAUUUAGCUUUUCUGUUAAUAAAAAGCAAAAAAAAUUACAAAGCUAAAUUCUCUACCAAUUUAAUAUUAAAAAAAAAACCAACAAAGAUAAUUUUGGAAGGAAAAAAACUCAUGAGGAAAAAUGUUGUAGCAAUUGACAAUGUUUUGUGAGGAAAACUACAGUGCUUUCCCCAAUAAAAUAAAAUAAAAAACCAUUUAGAGAAAUAUUGUAGCAAUCCAUAAUGUUUUGUGAGAAAAACUACAACGCUUUCCCCAUAUGAUUUAGCUUUAUUGUAAUUAUAAUUCUUAACCAACUUAAUAUUUUAAAAAAUAGACAGAUAAUUUUGGAAAAAAUAAUAAAAAAAUCAUAUGGGAAAACACUGCAAUAAUUCACAGUGUUUUAAAGAAAAAAAUUAUAAAGUUAAAUUCUUAAUCAGCUCAAUAUUAAAAAAAUCAAAUCGAUAGAGAUAAUUUUAGGAAAAAAAACACAAAAAAAGGGGAAAAAAUCAUGUUGGAAACAAUGUAGCAAUUUAUAGUGUUUUGUAAUGAAAGCUACAGUGCUUCCCCACAUGAUUUAACCUUAUUUGUAAUGACUUGUAAUUGUAAUUUUCAACAAUGUUUUGUGAGGAAAGCUUUAGUGCUUUCCCCACAUAAUUAAGUUUUAUUACAAAUUUAAAUUCUAACCAACUCAAUAUUAAAAAAAAAAUGGACGAAGAUAAUUUGGAAAAAAAUAUUACAAAAAAAGAAAACACAAAAGAAACUGGAAAAAAAAACCAUGUGAGAACAAACUGUAUCAAUCCAUAGUGUUUUGUGAGGAAAAACUUGUAUUUACUUGUAAUUACAAUUCUUAACCAGCUUAAUAUUUAAAAAAUAAAAUUGACAAAGACAAUGUUAGGGAAAAACAUAAAAAAACAGAAAAAAACCAUAUGAGAAAAAACAUUGUAGCAACCCACAGUAAUUUGCGAGGAAAGUUACAGUGCUUUCCUCACAUAUUGUAACGGUAAUUUUUAAUCAGUUCAAUAUUAAAAAAUAAAAUAAAAAAAGAUAAUUUCGGAGAAAAUUAUAAAAAAACAAAAACAAAAAAAACCAUGCGGAGAAACACUGUAUCAAUAAACAAUGUUUUAAAGAAAAAAAUUACAAAACUAAAUUCUCAAUCAGCUCAAUAUAAAACAAAAUCGACAAAUAUAAUUUUAAAAAAUAAAAAAAUAAAAUAGAAAAAUUAUGUAGGAAAACAUCGUAACAAUCCAAAGUAUUUUAAAGGAAAAAAAUUACAAAGUAGAAUUUUUAACCAACUCAAUAUUUAAAAAGUAAAAUCAAUAAAGAUAAUUUUUUUAAAAAAAUAAAUGGAAAAAAGAGAGAGAGAAAAAAAGCAAAGUUGGAAAAAAAAGAAAAAAUGAGGGAAAGUUGGAAAAAAAAAUGAAAAAAUACAAAAAAAAAAGAGAGGAAAAAACACUGUGGAUUACUGUUGUAAUCCAUAUUGAUUCCCUCACACCAUUUAGAUAUUGUUAUAAUUAUAAUAUAUAUUUAGGUUAUGCUUUAACCUAAACACCAUUUAGAUAUAACUAGCUUUGAUACCCGCGCGAUGCCGCGGGUUAUUUUUUUUAUAAAAAAUAUUUUAAAAAAUAAAAAUUGAAAAAUCUUAGAUUUUUCUGCAAAGUUAUACCCAAGAAUCUUGGGUGGCUGCAACGUCUGACCUAAGAGUAAUAUUUAUAAUAUUAAUAAUAAAAUUAAACUUACAUGACCCAGUAACACCAGACCCAAGAAUAUUGGAUGUAGGUCUGGCUAUAAGGUCGUGUAAUAAAAGUGUGAUAAUUAAAUAGAGUAAUUAAAAAAAACAAAGAAAAAAAAUCAACAGAAAGAAAAAAACUAAUGAAGAAAAAGAAAAAAAAAUUGAAUUAAUUGGGUUAACCCUUUAAACCAGGUUACCCCGUAAAACCUUAGAUUUGCGUCAUGAAAGUUUGAUAACUAAAUAGAAAAAAAAAAUGACGGAUUUACCCAGAAUUAACCGGGUUAACCCAUCAAACCAAGUUAACCCGUCAAGCCCAGGAUACAUGUCAUGAAAAUCUGAUAAUUAAAUAGAAAGAAAAUUAACUUUAACAAACUAAACUAAAUGAAAAAAAAUAACUCGUUAAAUCAGGUUAACCUAUCAAACCCGAGAUUCGUAUCAUGAAAAUAUGAUAAUUAAAUAAAAAAAAUUUAACAUUAACAAAAUAAAUCAAACAAAAAAAAUUCAUUAAAAAAAAUUAAAAAGAAAAAAACAGUCAUAUAAUAUAAUACAAUAUAAUAAUAAUUAUAAUGAAAAAACGUGGGGAAAGCUAAAGCUAAAGCUAAAAUUUCAACCAACUCAAUAUUAAAAAAAAUAAAUUUAACAAAGAUAAUUUAAAAAAUAAAAAUUUGGGGGAAACACUGCAGUCAAACAAAAAUCAUGCAAGGGAAACACUGUAGUAAUUCAUAGUAUUUUUUUUUCUUUUUGAAAAAAGCUACAAAGUUAAGUUCUCAACUAACUUAAUAUAGAAAAAAAACCGAGAUCUAUGUAAUAAAAGUAUGAUAACUAAAUUAAAAAAAAAAAUUUCACAUUAACAAACUAAAUUAAACAAAAAAAUUCAUUAAAAGAAAAAAAAACACAAAGAAAAAAGCAAAAAAAAAAACACCACAUAGGCAAAACGAAAAAAAAUAAAAGAAAAUAAAAAUAAAAAAAUCAAGUGUUUCACUGUGUACAAAGCGACACAUUAUAUGUAAAAAAUAGAAGAAACAAAAGCGAGGAAAAAAAAAAUAAAACUGCUAUAGUGAAAAACCCACGCGUUAAAAAAAACAUGUAAAAAAAACAAAAACAAAAAAAAGGAAAAAAAAGGAAAAACUGCUACAGAAAAACAAAACCAAAAACGAAAAACAAAUGCAACAGAAAAAAAAAACGAAAAAAAAUUGCAAAAAAAAAUGAAAAAAAAAUAAAAAAAUAAACAUGUGGGGGAAACAUUGCAACCAAACAAAAAUCAUGCAAGAGAAAGACUGUAGUAAUCCAUAAUAUUUUUUUUUCUUUUUGAAAAAAGCUACAAAGUUAAGUUUUCAACCAGCUUAAUAUAGAAAAAAAACUGAGAUUCGUGUAAUGAAAAUAUGAUAACUAAAUUAAAUUUUUUUUUACAUUAACAAACUAAAUUAAACAAAAAAAAAAUUCAUUGAAAGAAAAAAAAAACAAAGAAAAAGGCAAAAAAAAAACUCAUAGGGAAAACGAAAAAAAAGAAAAAAAAACAACAAAAAAAUCAAGUGUUUCACUGUGUGCACAGCGAUACAUUAUAUGUAAAAAAAACAAAAGAAACAAAAGCAAGGAAAAAAAAACAAAACUGCUACAGUGAAAAACCUAUGCGUUAAAAAAAAAUGUAAAAAAAAACAAAAAAAAAAACUGCUAUAGAAAAAUAAAACCAAAAACGAAAAAAAAAACAAGAAAAAAAACGAAAAAAAACUGAAAAAAAAGCGAAAAAAAAAAACUGAAAAAAAAAACGAAAAAAACUGUCCCUAAAAAAAAAAAAAACUUUAGCUACAGUGAAUUCACGUUUUAGUAUAUUACUUAAUUAUAAUUAUAAUAUAUAUAUUUAGGUUAUGCUUUAACCUAAAUAGCCCUCGCACUCUAACAUGCCACAAAACACUUUUGACUAGCCCUAGCUUGGGUUAAUAAACCUACUAGUUGUCUACUAAGCCCAAGUGAUUAAGGCAGUCACUUGGAUGUGGCUUAGCUACCAAUUACAUCUUUUUCUUCUCUUUUUAUUUUUUUUUCUCUUACUUUUUUGCACUAACAAUUUCAAUGCAUAAUACACUUAAUUUUUCUAUCUCGCAAAUACAAAUUUUUUUUGCAAUACAAACACCAUUCUUUUUUUUUUUUUAUCAUCAAUAGCAACAUUUCUUUUAUGACUAUAAACUCACAUGAACACCAAUAAAAAUAAAUAUAUUUUAUUAUAUAUAAACAUGACACACCAACUUCUCCUUUCAAUUACAUAUUAGACAUAACCUUUAUCAUAAUAUCAUACCAACCGGUGAUAGCUAAUCUUGAUUGAUCAAUGACAAGAUUCCCUCUUUUAUAAAGAAAUUACAAUUUUAGGUGUAUAAAUACAUCUAGUUACCAAACUAAAAGGGAAAUAUUUUUUCAUGACAUACUAAAUCCACAAUCUUGCAACACCUAGAUAACUUUCCUUACACCUUCUAUGUAUUUUCUCCUUGUCCAUUAUUGUUUCCACAUAUACAAGUAGCUAGUAACUAAGUAUUAAAGUGUAAACUGUCUUAACAAAAAACUGGUUUUAUAGGAAUCACUCAUCUGCCCAAUUCACUAGUCAAGAAAAUUAAUUUUUGUAUUUGAAAUUUUUUCAUGAUUUCAUCAUGACUAUUGUCAGGAGAUUAUUCAUACCUAGUUCUGUAAAGAGGUUGACUUGCGAUAACCAAAUGAGGUCUAGAAGGCCUCCAAAUUAGUCCCAACAAGUGUUGUUCAACUGAGUUUUAUUAUUAUUAUUAUUUUAGAUUUUCUAGCUUGUUUAAGAGUUUUAUUGUUUUUUUCUUUCAUUAUCAGGACUCUUAAUUUUCUAAUUUAUUUAGGAUGUCUUUGUUUUAAGGAGUUUUAUAUCUUUUAGAAAAACAUGCUACUUGAAAAAAAUCAAUAAUAAAAUUUUAGAUUAAAGAUUUUGUGUGGCGGCAUAUUCAAUAGAAAUUUAUAUUGCUUGUACAAAUUGUUUUUGCAUUGUUUCAUCUAAAUUAGUUAUUAUAUAAAUAAAUACAAAAUAUUUAUGACAAUGAAUAGAUAAUGUGUUUAAUGAUGUACAAUUAAUUCUUCUUUAAUGCUUGGAAUAAGUAAAUUGUAGAGAGAGUAAAUGUGUAAUAUUUUACUUUCCAUAUCUUAGAGCUCGAAAAUCAACAUGUGUCUUAUCAUGAGAAUAAGGGCCGGUGGCUCGGAGAGAGAGAGCUGAGCAGUCGGUGUUAAUUAAUUAUUCUCCUCUCCUGCAACGAGACACUGCGUUUUACGAAAUGUAGGUGAGGACGUAUCGAUACGAGGAGUAUAGAAGGAAGAGCAUUAAGAUGGUGUUUGGCAGUGUGGUAGUGGUUGAUUUUUAAAUAGCUUUUCGUGCUGAAAUACAUGCCAAUGAUGUUUUUUCAUUUUUUAAAAAUCAUUUUUGACAUCAGCACAUCAAAACGAUCCAAAAAGUACAAACCGCACUCAAUUUUAGCAAAAAAAAAAAAAAAAUUGAAAUUCGGUGAAAAGCAGAUUCAACCGCAGAACCAAACAGCCUCUAAGUAAGCACCUCGCCAUAAAUAGUGUGCUAAUAAUUAUUUUGUGAAGUGUUUUAUUUUUAUAAAAAUAUUAAAAUAAUAUUUUUUAAUUUAAAAAAAAUUAAUUUUAAUAUCAACAAAUAUAAAAAAAUUAAAAAAUUUAAUUUAAUACAAAAAAAAUAAAUUUUAAUAAAAAACAAGUUAAAAUUCAAACCAUGGAUUUGAUAUUAAGUUUUUGACUUCAAACUUUUUUUUAUUUAACCAUGGAUGUCCGGAUCAGUUUACGAGCACCUUGACUAAUCUUCCAGAGCUUUGAAGUUAAUGAACAGAUAAACCUCCAGUAAUUUUAAAAUUUAUAUCAGUCAAACUGAUAAUAUUUGAACAGCAAAUCAAAAAUUUAACUAAUUAAAUUACAUAUUUUAUGUACUAUGACAUGGUGUUUUGAUACUGAUUUCCACACAUAUAUGAGAUUUAAUCUCGUUAUUCUUAAACAAUUUAUCAAGUCUUAGUAAAAAGAAAUGGAUGAAUGAUACUGCAUAUAAUUGAACUUCAAGAUUUCAAUUAUUUGUAUAAUUGGAUUUUUUUAAUCAUAUGUUAGAUUAAAUUAAUUAUAAAUUUAAUUCAAUCUAUUAUUAUGUUCAUUGUUAUAAAUAAAAUCAGAGGUGGAACCAGAGUAGGCGAGCAGGGAUGGGCUCCUGUAAAAUAUUUUAAAUUUUUGUAUUUUUAGUGUUUAAAUAUAAAAUAAUAUAAUAUAUUUUUAUUUUAAAUACAUAAAUUUUCUAAUAAUAAAUUAUAUCUUGAGUUUUGUUUGACCUUCCUUCCUGUUAUAUAAUUCUAGUUCCGCCGCCCCUGAAUAAAGUUUUCUAGUUGCUUAUAUAUUUUAAUAAUAAUUCUCAAUGAAAAAAUAACUGGGCCAGACAAGCUUAUCAUUCAUUGAAAAAGGGCCAAUGAUAGAUGCUGGAGAUAGUGCAAUGUUGCGUUACAAGCCACAGCUAGUUUUGCUGAUCAGAUUUUAUAUAUUGUAGUAAUAAUUAAUUAGUAAAAUCCUUGCCUUUUGGAGGUACUUGUGAGCCGUGAUUCAAAAAUUAAUUAGUUGCUUUUUAUUGGUUAUGUCUGAUCUACCUUAAAAAAAGAGAGACAAAUAUAAAAAGAAAUAUUUUCAUUUAAAAUUAUAAGUAUAUUUUCAUUUAAAAUUUUCUCUUCUAAUUAUAAUUAAUUUAAAAAAUAAAUCCAAAAAAACAACUAAUAAAAAACUACUUGUUAUUCCCUCGCGCUUGGAAAAUUUCUCGUCGUUAUCACUAGAGUACAACUACAAUGACCUGGCAAAACAUGACAUUAAUAAAAUAAAAAUAAAAAAGUUGAAGGAAGACACAGAUUUGGAAAUAGAAAAUCAAGCAUUUCUGGCUAUAAAUGACAGGAAAAGAAUCAUUGAGACUGAACAGAGAGAAGCAAGCAAGCUAGCUAGUAAGAGAGAUAUGGGAUCCAUUUCGAAGCCUCAUGUUGUUGUGAUCCCAUGUCCAGUCCAAGGUCAUAUAAAGACUAUGCUUAAACUUGCGAAGCUUCUUCACUACAAAGGUCUUCACAUCACGUUUGUCAGCACAGAAUUCAAUCACAAACGUUUCCUUAGGUCAAGAGGACCUCAUGCCCUUGAUGACUUGCCUGGCUUCCAUUUUAGAACCAUUCCCGAUGGUCUCCCUCCUUCAGAUAUUGGUGCCACCCAAGACAUUCCUUCUCUUUGUCAUGCCAUGAACAAGAAUUUCUUAGCACCCUUUAAAGAUCUUCUUUUACAACUCAAAAAUACAGUAUCGGAGAACAACCCUCCGAUUACCUGCAUUGUUUCUGAUCCUUUUGCUCCAUUCUCCAUCAAAGCUGGGGAAGAAGUUGGUCUUCCAGUUGUGAUGUAUGCCACUACGAAUGCAUGUGGCUAUAUGGGAUGUAAACAGCUCUAUGCUCUCAGAGAGAAAGGCUUCACCCCCAUCAAAGGUAUAUUCACAUACUUGUUUAAUUACAAGUGAACUUCCAAGAAAAGUGGCUUUAUUACUAUUAUACAACUUCAUUAGUAUUUUACAGCUUUAUUCUUUUCUAAAUUUUCAAACAAAUGGUUGAGAUUAUCCUAGAAAUCAAAUGGUUGAGAUCCUUCUACAAAUAAUUUCAAAAAUUAUAGGGUAUGAGAGAUUUCAGAUCAUUUUUUAUUCUAUUAUUCUAGCUAGUACUCGGUAAUUAUAGGUAAAAUUCUUAUGAUGGUGGAGAGUAUCCUCAUUUUUAACAAGGUGAAACUGGAUUGAGUUUCCGGUUUCUCAUUAAUCUUGCAUAUUGCAUAGAUUAUUUGUUUGGCUAAAGUGUAAUGAAUACAAUUUCAGCUAUAAUGAUAAUGAUAGUAUUUGGAUGUGAAAAAAAUAUGAAUCACUAACUUGAUUGCUUUUUUCUUUUAUAUUUCUUUUUGUUCUCUCUUUAUCUCAUUUACGGCGCAUUCAUUUUAUUUUACUCAACAUUUUAGAAAUUAUCUUUUAAAUGAUUUCUUUUUUAUUAAUACACUUUAUUAUUAUUGAAAAAAUAUUAGAAUUUAAUUAAUUUGGUAUGCCCGCGUUCCGACAAAAAUUUCCAAGCUUAAAUCACACAGGCAAGAUCAAUGAUUAUGUGCAAAAGAAUUUCAUUUUGAGCUUGGUCUAAUAAGAUUGUGUUUUGCAGAUUUGAGCAAUCUAAGCAACGGCUAUCUUGAGACAAAAGUAGACUGGGCUCCUGGUAUGAAAGACGUUCGUCUUAAAGAUUUUCCAUUUAUUCAAACAACAGAUCCAGAUGAAGUUGUAUUUAACUUUGUCAUUGGGGUUGCUGAAACUUCUGUUAAAGCUCGUGCAAUUGCUUUUCAUACUUUUGACGCCUUGGAACCAGAAGUUUUAGAUGGCCUUUCCACUAUUUUCCCUCGAGUUUAUUCCAUCGGUCCACUCCAGUUACUCCUAAAUCAAUUCGAAGAAAAUGGUUUGAAGUCUAUUGGUUACAGUCUGUGGAAAGAAGACCAUGAGUGUCUCCAAUGGCUGGAAACAAAGGAACCCAAAUCAGUGGUGUACGUGAAUUUUGGAAGCAUAACAGUGAUGACAGCUGAUCAACUGGUGGAGUUUGCAAUGGGAUUAGUUAAUAGUAAUAUCCCAUUCUUGUGGAUUAUAAGGCCAGAUUUGGUCGUCGGUGAAUCAGCUGUUUUACCAGCUGAAUUUGAAGAGGAAACUGAAAAGCGAGGCUUUAUUACAAGUUGGUGUCCACAAGAGGAAGUGCUUAACCAUCCAGCAGUUGGAGGGUUUCUAACUCAUAGUGGCUGGGGUUCAACCAUUGAGAGCUUGUGUGCUGGUGUUCCAUUGGCGUGUUGGCCCUUCUUCGCUGAUCAAGCAAUGAACUGUAGAUAUAGCUGCAAUGAAUGGGGAGUUGGAAUGGAGAUUGAUAAUAACGUCAAGAGGGAAGAAGUGGAGAUGCUGGUGAAGGAGCUCAUGGAAGGGGAAAAGGGUGAGAAAAUGAGGGGAAAGGCUAUGGAGUGGAAAAGGUUGGCUGAAGAAGCUGUUGGGCCAGAGGGUACAUCAUCCAUUAAUUUGGACAAGUUCAUCCAUGAAAUAAUCUCUUCAAACAAUUAGAUCGUCGACACGCUAGAAUAAAAAAAAAAUCAUAAAAGAUCAAAUUUCGUUCGUCUGUGAAAAGAUCAAAUUUCCUUCCAGUUGCCUUUUUUUGGAAUUUAAAUAUCAUAAUAAAUAAAUGCUCCAUUUUCGAAUAUGGUAUGAUAUCUUGGAAACCUGUUGAUACUUCUAUCUCUACAUCCAAAGCUAUCAUAUCGUCAGAUCUUUUGUUUUUUAAUGCUUCACGUUUUCGUCAAAUUAUGGGUGUUCUUCAAUAUCUCAGUUUUGCGAGACCAGAUAUUUGCUUUGUUGUUAACAGAGUCUAUCAGUUUAUGCAUGCUCCUACAGACUCUCAUUGGGCUGCUGUUAAACGCAUUUUGCGUUAUCUUAACGGUACGACAACACAUGGCCUACAUAUUACUCAUAGUUCUUUCUUUCCAUUACAUGGCUUUACAAAUGCAGAUUCUGCAGGUAGUAUUGAUGAUAAAAAAAUCUACGAGUGGUUAUCUUGUGUCCUUUGGUUAUCUUAAGCAACGUACAAUUGCUCGCUCCUCUAUCGAAGCUGAGUACAAAUCCUUAGCAGAUGGUAUUGCUGAGGUUAUCUGGCUUGACUAUUUAUUAACAGAUCUUCAGAUUCUGUCUGUUUCAGCUCCUAUAAUUUGGUGUUAUAAUCUUGGUGCCACUUAUUUAUCUGCGAAUCAUGUUUUUCAUUCUUACACAAAACAUGUUGAGGUUGAUUAUCAUUUUGUUCGAGAUUGAGUUGCGAAGAGGGAGAUUCAGAUUCGUUUCAUUUUCUCUCGGGAUCAACUUGCAUAUGUCUUUACUAAGCCACUUCCUACUGCUUCGUUUACUGCUUUUCGUUUCAAGCUUCGGGUCGAUCGUCUACCCUAAGCUUGAGAGGGCAUAUUAUAGAAUGUAUACUAUAUAUGAAAUAUUAUGGGCACUACUAUAGUAUUAAUUGUAUUCUCUACAUUAACUAUUAUAUAUUGCCCUACACAUAUAAAUAGAAAAGGAUUGGUUAAAUCAAAAGUUAAGCCUCCUAAUUAUUCUCAACUAUUACCAGUGAGUCAACGAUUUUGCCGGCUGAGUUUCAAGUGGAAACUUAGAACCGUGGUUUCGUAACUAGUUGGUGUCCACAAGAGGAAGUUCUGAACCACCCAUCAGUUGGUGUCAAAGAACCAUCUCAACCCAAUAGCUUAAACUGUUAGGUAAGGUCCCAAGAUAUGAUUUAUAUUAUUCUCUAACACACCCCCUCAAGUGAAAGCCCUUUGAAAUUGAAACUUGCACAAGCCUAUAUUAUCUUGUGCUUAAUUUUUAUCAAAUAACUGGGGAUGGUGAGAUUCGAACUCGUGACCGCUUGGUCAUUAAGGUUUUGAUACCAUGUCAAAGAACCAUCUCAACCCAAUAGCUUAAGCUGUUAGGUGAAGUUUCAGGAUAUGAUUUAUAUUAUUAUCUAACAGUUGGGGGAGAUUUCUAACUCAUACCGGUUGGAAUUCGAUUAUUGAAAGCUUGUGUGCUGGAGUGCCAGUGAUAUGUUGGCCUUUAUUUGCUGAUCAACCAAUAAAUUGUAGCUGUGCUUGCAUUGAAUGGGGAGUUGGCAUGGAGAUUGAUAACAAUGUCAAGAGAGAAGAAGUGGAGAAGCUUAUCAGGAACUUGAUGGGAGGAGAAAGUGUAAGAAAAUGAGGGAAAAGGCCAAACACUGGAGGAAGGUGGCGGAAGAGGCUACUGUCCCUAGCUAAUGGUUCAUCAUCCAUUAAUUUAGACAGUUUCAUCAAUGAAAUGUUACAAUCAAACAUCACUCUGUAACCUAUGAUCAUUCAAAAGAGAAAAUACUUUUGUGAUGGGAUUUUAUUGCUUGCCAAUUGAAGAUAGCUAGUGUUUGCACUAAUGGUGUUUGUCUCGAUAGUCCAUAUGCAUGGUUGUCUGGAACGUCCCAAGAACCUAGCACGCAACUGAACAGCUUCUAGGUCUACAAAUUAAGACAUAUCCAGUCCAAUGAGCUCGGGCGUAGAAAUUUGUCCAUUGAACAGUCCCUGUUAAAGAUCAAUCCAGAAAUUAAUUUAGCUAAUGGUGUUUUUUUUUCUGGGCCCAGCUCAGCCCACGUGGGCUGGGCUAGACCCAACCAUCCUGGCCCGGUUACUGGCCUAAGCCAGUGAUCCGGCUGGCUGAAGCACGCAUGCGUGAACUAUUCACGCAUGCUGUGCACAGUGGGAAGGUAAUUAAAAUUACCUUAUCCCUGUACUUAUACAACUAUAAAUGAAAGGGAGCGGGAAGCUUACCUGGAAGCAGGAACGAAGACGAUGACGAAGGCGUGGUGGCUGGCUGUUCCUCCUGUUCGUUCGUCUCCUCUCUGCUUCUGGUUUUUUCUUAGAGACGAAGGAACGAAGAUGAUGAUGAUGCCGGUUCUCUCUGGUGGUCUUGAUUCUGGGUCCUUCUUUUUCUGCUGUUAUUUUGGGUUUCUUCCUCUGCUUAUGACGGUUCGGAGUGGUGCCAGGCUGAUCAAUGUUUACAGUUUCUCUGUUUUCCCUUGUUCACUUUGCUUGCGUCCUGGGGACGAAGACAACGCUGGCUUUUGCUCUCUCCUCCUUUUUCUUUUUAGUUUGUCUCUCCCUGUUUCCAGUGUUCUUCCCCUGUCUUUUUUUUUUUGUUUCGGUUCGUGCUCUCCCUCUCCUUCUCUAGUCCAGUAUGUCUAUCUCCGUGCGUCCUCUGUUUUUUUUCUGCCCUCUCAGUUUAGUUCCCCCUCUGUUCGUCUGUAUUUUCUCUCUUUGUCCCCUGUAUUUUUUUUCUGUUUCGGUUCGUGAUCUGCCCCCUGCUUCCCCCGCUGUGAGGCCUUUCUCUGGCUUUUAUAAAGCCAGAGAAGGUCGUGUGUUCAUGCCUCAACAAAUGAGGCACGUUCCGUGAGGGAUCGUGGUUCAUGAUCUGCUGGCAGUGUUUCCUGUUGAUCCGGUCUUCCGGAUGAGGAGAUGAUGAACAGUGGUUCAAAACGGCGCCGUUUAUAUCUGGUGUUUUCAACUUAGCCCCUGAACUUCUAACAUUAACAAUUGGGUUCCUGAUUUCAUUAAUUAAACUAAUUCCAAGUUCACUUAAGUCCCCAAACUUAUCAAUUCUUCAAUUAAGCUCUUAAUGUGAUUAAUGAAACUACUCCCAAGUUUAAUUAAGUCCUUAAACUUUCAAUUAUGUUGCCUUAGCUCAAAUUUUAAUUUAUCCUUCAUUCAUUUUAUUUUUUUUUCACAUAUAUUUUUUUGUUUUAAUAAAAAUAAGAUAAAAUAAAAAUAGUUAAAAUUUAAGUUAUAACAUUAAUAAUUAAUUUUAAAAAGAACUUAUAUGUUUAUUUAAUAGUCCUGAACAAUAAAAAUUUCUAGCUACGCCUUUGCUCGGCUCCAUGCAUUAAAUGUGACAAUGCAUUGGGGAUGGCUCCACUCUUCCUCAUGACAUGUUGUCAAUUUAAGCAGAUUUUUACUCACGGCACUAGCCAUGUGUCUAUCGUGACAGUAAGGGCCGGUGGUUCAAGGAGGGAGGGAGAGAGAGAGGGUGGUGUUUUGGUGCAGGUUUCCACAUUUAUGUGGAUUUAAUCUCGUUAUUCCAAAACAAUUUAUCCAACUGUUAGUAAGAAGAAAAGGAUGAAUGAUACUAUAUAUAAUUGAACUUAAUUACAAGGCUCCAAUUAUUUGUAUAAUUGAAUUUUUUUAGAUUAAAUUAAUUCAAUUCAUUAUGUUCAUUGCUAUAAAUAAAGUUUUCUAGUUGCGUUAUGGAUAUAUAUUUUAAUAAUAAUUUUCAAUGAAAAAAUAACUGGCCAUUCAUUAAUACGACUAGAAAAAGGGCCAAUGAUAGAUGCUGCCAGACAAUUUUGCUGAUAAGAUUUUAUAUAUUAUAGUGAUAAUUAAUUUGUGAAAUCCUUGUAUUUUGGAGGUAAUUGUGAGCUGUGAUUCAUCUAUUUGGAAGUAUGGAUAUUGUUGUUUUUUAAAAUAUUUUUUGUUUGAAAAUACAUCAAAAUAAUAUAUUUUUUUAUUUUUUAAAAAUUAUUUUUAAUAUUAGCAUAUCAAAAUAUUUGAAAACACCAAAAAAUAUUAAUUUAAAACAAAAAAAAUAAAAAAAUUUUAAUUUUUUCAAAAACACUUUUAAAAUAUUAAAAUAAUAAAUUGCUAUUGAUUACAUGGUGGUCCCGUAGAGAAAAAAACAGGUAUAAAAAAAACAAAAAGAGAUAUGGAUUAUUAAAAAUAAUAAAAAUAUAUAUAUAUUUAAAAUAUUCUUGUUGUUAUUCUCGUCCCUGUAAAAUUUCUCGUUGUUAUCACUAGAGUACAACUACAAUGACCUGGCAAAACAUGCCAUUAAUAAAAUAGAAAUAAAAAUAAAAAAUCCAAGGAAGACACAGAUUUGGAAAUAGAAAAUCAAGCAUAUCUGGCUAUAAAUCACAGGAAAAGACUCAUUGAGACUGAACAGAGAGAAGCAAGCUAGCUAGCUAGUAAGAGAGAUAUGGGAUCCAUUUCCAAGCCUCAUGUUGUUGUGAUCCCAUGUCCACUCCAAGGUCAUAUAAAGACUAUGCUUAAACUUGCGAAGCUUCUUCACUACAAAGGUCUUCACAUCACGUUUGUCAGCACAGAAUUCAAUCACAAACGUUUCCUUUGGUCAAGAGGACGUCAUGCCCUUGAUGACUUGCCUGGCUUCCAUUUUAGAACCAUUCCCGAUGGUCUCCCUCCUUCAGAUAUUGAUGCCACCCAAGACAUUCCUUCUCUUUGUGAUGCCAUGAACAAGAAUUUCUUAGCACCCUUUAAAGAUCUUCUUUUGGAACUCAGAAAUACCGUUUCGGAGAACAACCCUCCGGUUACCUGCAUUGUUUCUGAUCC
rnacentral:lncRNA from 1 species